rnacentral:lncRNA from 1 species
AGCCACCAUGCCUCUAUAGCUUGAAUAAGCCUGGGCUAAGCAAGUCAGUCUCGCUAAGCCUAAGGCAAUUUAGUUUUCCGAGUUUUUGUUCAUGUGCUAAGCGAGUUAGUCUCGCUAAGCGCAAUUUCUUCUCUGUUUUGGAAUUAGGCUUAGCAAGCCUGCUCGUUAAGCCAAUUAUGUUCCAGUGGUCAAGUUUGGCUAAGCGCUUGCUGGCGCUAAGCCUGUAUAGUGUGUCACUCUAAGUGAGUCAGUAUCGCUAAGCGCAAUUAGCUCUCUGUCAGAGAAUAAGGCUUGGUGAGCCAUGCUCGCUUAGCCAUUAUGUUGUUUCAGCUAAGCGAGUGUGUCUCGCUCAGCCAAAGUCUGUGUUUUUGUGUUGUCGUGCUAAGCGCGCCCUGUGCGCUAAGCGUGUGCUGUUAUUUUCAUAAGCGAGUCAGUCUCACUAAGUGCCCAGUCUGUUUUUCUGUUUUAUUUUUCUAUUUUCAGUUUGAGAUAAAACCUGUCUAACUUGAUUCCUGUGAUUCUUUUUUGAUGCAGAUGGCCUCCUGGAAAAGGAAAUGCACCGCCUCCCGGCCCUAGGAGCCUUAUGACACUACCAGAUUUAUUUCUGAGGCUACCUAGGAGAGGUAUUCCCAGAAUGUUCACUCUCGGAACAUCCUUCUGGAGAGGAACGUCACUCUUUAUGUCACAGAAUAUGAUGAGUUCCGCUAGGAGCUCGAGAGGCGAUGUUGGCAUAAAGCCUUGACCAGGCAAAUGGAUGGGCAUAUAAUUGAAGCCCUGGUCAAGGAGUUUUAUGUGAAUUUGUAUGAUCCUGAAGACAAAUCCCCCAGGCAAGUCAGAGUGCAGGGGAAGCUAAUCAAGUUUGAUGCCAUCUCUCUUAAUGCCUUCCUGGAGACGCCACCAGUUCUUCAGCCAGGGGAGCAGUACACUUCUUAUUCCAUUUUCUGUUGAUCAUGCCCAAAUCCUUAAGAGCUUGCUUCCAAGCUCUGCAUUCCAGGGCGCGGAUUUGUUUUGAAUGCUGAAGGGGCACCCUGAAAGCUCCUGAGGAAGGACUUGACUACUCUGGCACAGACUUGGAGUGUCCUGUCCUAUUCUAACAUCGCCCCCACCACUCACACGUUCGAUCUGAAUAUAGACCAAGCAAGGUUAGUUUAUGGAUUGGUUAUGCGAAUGGACAUGGACUUUGGCUUGCUCAUCCCAGGCCAGAUCUCACAGAUGGCCCAGUCUAACUCCUAUCGACUUGGCUUCCCAACCCUCAUCACUGCUUUAUGCAUCGCCUAGGGAGUCGUCUUAGAUUCACUAACAUUUGAGUCCCUGAGCCCCGCCAUUAACUUGGCAUACAUCUUGAAGAAUUUUUGGAACCCAGAUGAUCCUUCGAUCACCUUUCCGGGGACCCGUAAGGCUCGGGCUUGGGGACCAUCGAAUGCUUCUGCUCCUUCUUCUUCUUCUUCUUCUCCAGUUCCAGCCCCAUUUUCUUCUGCUCCAAAUUCUACUUAUGCACCUCCAGUACCUUCCGGCCCCUCCGCUCUAAGCUCAGACGCCAUGGUGACGAUGUUGUAGAGCCUUCACCAAGGCUUAUGCCUAGUGAUGCAGAACAUUCAUAACUUGGCUCAGCAUCGACCCAUCAUUAGCAUGGAGGAUUUCAUGGCUCGGGUGGUCUGGCCAGGAGUCCAACCUUCUCCUUUGGGGGGAGGUGAGGCUCCUACAACCCAGGAGCCGCAGCCAGAGGCACAGCCCACGUCGGAGGUCACAUAGGAGGCUACACCAGAGGUCUCACCUGCUGCCACACCACUUGUGGAGGUCUCUUAGGAGGAGGAUGGUGCUGCAGACACCGAUUAUGCAGCUAAUAUGGUAGCAACAUAGAACACUUGGGAUCCCUGGCCCACAGCAGCACAGAAGACAUCUCAGUCAGCUCAGGAUGCUCCUUCCUCACCUUGGGAUGAUCAGAUACCGGUGCAGGAUGAGUGAUGACAGGACUAUCAUUUAUUUUCCUACUUUAGAUACAGUUUUAUGUUUUUAGUUUCAGUUUAUUUAGUUAGCAAAUUUCAAAUCUUCUUGAACAGUUUACAUUCAUUUAUGCAGUGGUUGUUUUGGUUUGGAAUUUCAGUGUUUGUGAAUGAUUUGAAAUUGAUCAAUGGCAUGAAUUAAGUGAAUUGUGAUGAUUAGAUCACGUGCUUUGAAUGAGUAUGCAAUAAUUAGAAGAGAAAGAACAUGAAUUAGGGAUGUGAGUGAAAAUGUUAGUUGGUUUGACAGGUAAAUUGUGAAGGUAAUCAUUAGCCAUAAACUGGUGAGUUGUGUGAACCUUAAUUGUGAGAGAAUGACUAGCAUUGAGUACCGAUUUUUGCAUGAAUCUCUGAAUACUGAAUGAAUGCAUGAAUUUGGAAAUGAUGAAGGUCAUGAUUGAUUGAAAUAGCCACUUAGCUAAAUAGUUUACCUUGUUCAUGAAUGAAUUAUCCUUUGCACCCACGUUGAGUUUAAACUUGAUUGAUUAAAUUGAACCCUGAGCCUGUUGAAGUGUAAUCUCCAUCUACCUUUUCUUAGGUUGUAGGAGAGCAUCAUGGUUCAAAGCAAAUUUGUCCCAAAUUUGGGGGAGGAUGUUGGGUGACAAUAAUUGUGGUAAGACAAAUAACAGCCACACAAAAAUAUCAGAAAGUAGUAAGUAAAAACUGCUAAAAUAAAAAAAAAAAGAAAAAGAAAAAAAGAAAAGAGAAAUUUCAAGAAUAAAAGUAUGUGUGUGUUGUUACUUAAGCUAAGUGCCUUAAAUGUUGAUUGGCAAGUCAGUAGAAGCUGGGAAUAAAAAGAAAAAGAGUUGAUCUAAGGAUGAAUGCUCUCCUAGAACCUAAGUUUUGCAUCCUAGAAAAACCAUGAGUUGUUUGCAGCCUAGCCUCAUUACAAGCCAAGAAAGUCCUUCAGAUUCAAUUUAUGUGUUUGUGAUUGUAUGGCAUGAGAUGAAAUGCAAAAGUUGAGACUUGUGUUGGUUGUUGACUGAAGAAUUGCCUUAAACACUUGUGCUUAUGAGUGAAAUAGUGACAAUGAGGAUUUGGCUUGAUGAACCUUCCUUGAUACCUAUCUUGCUUGCUAGAUUAUUUCACUUGUGUUGCUUAAUAACCAUGUUCAGAUCUUUGAAAUUCUGCAUAUCUUUAUGAGAAGUUGUUGGUUGAAAGCAAUGUUUGCCACUUGUGUUCAUAUGAUUGAAUGCUUUGGAACAAACACAAUUUUUAAUAACCACUGUGAUUUUGUCACUUGAGGACAAGUGAACUGUUCUUUCCUUGCUUGAGGAUAAGCAAAAUUGUAAAUUUGGGGGAGUUUGUUAGUUGUCAUUUAUGACUAACUUUUGUAUUGAAAAGCUUCAUGAAAUUUAUAUCUUUUCCCUAAUUUAUGGUUCUUUUUGUAGGUUUGUACAUAUUUUUUUUUGUUUAGUUUAAUUUUACUUAGUAGAUAUUCCCAAUAUUGUGAUUUAAUGUGGUUCAACUUCAGUUUCAGGCCAAAGGAUGAAGAAGAAGAAGGUUGAAGCAGCUAGUGUCUCGCUAAGCGAGGCAUAUGCACUUAGUGAGUAACAUCCGCUAAGCGAGGCACUCAGCUCGCUUAGCGAGUGGGAAAAAUCUAGAAGAGAAUCUUCAGCUCGCUCAACGAGUCAUUUGUCUCUUCUCUCACUCAGCGUGCCCAGCUCGCUAAGCAAAAAUCCACUAACUCGCGCUUAGCAGGAAAAUGGCGCUAAACGAGCCUUCAGGAUCAAAAAGCCCUUAAAAGACUAAAGUUGGCGAAAAAAUAAGGGGAGUUCAGUGAGUUUUUAUGAAGAGAGACAUAACAGAGCAAGAGAGAAAAGCUUGAACGAAAGGCCUCAACUAAAUUAUGUCUAGACACAGAGUGCAGGGAUUUAGUUUAUAAUAUGUUGUAAUCUUAAUGCAAUUCAUUUAGGCUAAGUUUGACGAGGAAUCUAGAAUGAAGCUUAAAUAGAAUUAGACUCAUUCACUAGAGGAAUCUUGGUUUGAGUAGUCAUUUUCGGCAUAGAAACACAUAAACAACCUUAAAUAGAGAAAAACACUUAAUUACAUCAUUUUGUUCAGUAGAAGGACCCAACGUUUUCAUCAUCUGUUUAUCUCUCACAUUUAGAUAGUUAAUUUUGUAGUUAAAUUAAAACUGUAGACACAACUUCUCUUUAUAUUUACUGGCUUUAUACAACUGCUUACCUACUGAAUGAAUGCUCCCUGAAUGAAACAAGUUCCAUGUGGACUCGACACUCGGUCUUACCGUUUUAUAUAUUACUUGUGCGACUCGGUGCACUUGCCGAUUAACAUUUCUAACCUGUGAAACAAGUAUUUUAGCGAGAAGCGAACACUGCUCUUGUUGUUGCUGAAGUUAGUAUGCCAACUGCUUUGGUUGGUUCUGUUAUGGCACCAUCGUCCACCGUCGCUACACCUUUGUUGAGUGUCGGUGUAGAGACCAUCAGUGCUCUUGUGGUGUCUCCUCCUUCCUCUUCGGCUCCAAUGGUCAUCCCUCCACUGCGUUGGCGGCGACAUCACCUUCUUCGUCUUCUUGUCCCCGUGUCUCCUUGGAUCAUUUGUACACCUUUAGUGAUACUGAUUCACUAUGGGGUACAAGUUACAAGCUGGAGCAGAAGACCCCAAUUGGCUUUGUUUUAGCCUUUGAUAAGAACCUUAUUAGGUCAGCUGGGGUGCAGAAUGCUACGCAUUUUGCCAAAGUUUUUCUUUAGAGAAGUUUGGCGAUUCUGGAGGAGAACGGAUAGUGGCACCAAGAGGCUUUGCAUAAGGUGGCAUCCUUGGAGGCAGAGGUCGCCAAAUGAAGGGCUACUGCUCGCACAGUUUGGAGAGUGGACCACCCUAAGGUGACUAAUGCCACCAUAGCCUUUGUUAAGGUCGUAAGGUCAAAUCGCCAACUGCCUUCCAAAGUUGGUGGUGUGUUGGCCAAGUUGCUACGCACCAAGUUGGAUGGUGAUGAAUUGUUCAAAUGCUACAAGGACUUGUAAGUGGAUAAAAGCUACCUAGCUAGCAAGAUGGAGGGCAUUGUGGCAGAGAGGGACGAGCUUGUGAAGGUGAAUGUUGAUUUAAAGGCUCGACUUAAGGAGUCAAAGUCUCGGUUAAAGGAGUACGAGCUGUGGGCUGCCUAGGAAAGGGAGGCCAGCAAGAAGCUUAAGGAGGAGUUGCUCGUUUACAAGAAGGAAGCCAUGGAGCAACAUGAAAAAGGAUUCAACAAGGCCGUCAGGCAGGCCGAGUUCUUUGCCAAGGACCUUGACUUGGGUCUCUUUGACCUUUAAAGGAUGUGAAGGACGAUGUCUUGCUUGACGAGGAAGAAAUUGUUGUGGACAAGGAGGCUAUUGAUGAAGAGCAGAGUGCUGAGGAGCAAGGCGAUGAUACUUGUGUCUAGGUUGCCUUUGCCUUUACCUUUCUUCUUUUCUUCAUUGUUAGAAUUUGAGUCAUAUAGGCCUUGUAACUAUGACAAUUAUUUUUAUUUUUCCUUAAUGCGUAUGUCUUCAAUGCACAUGCUUUCCUUCGAUGGUGAAUUUUUUCCUAUGUGUAUGUUAUGUAUGUUGCCUUUGUCUAUGCAACACUCUAUUACUUGUGGUAGUAUGGAUAGGCCGUCGUGAUGGUAAGUAUAGAAUCUUUGAUGGCAAAAGUAUUUACGCUGAAUACUUGUUCCACUGGUCAGUGAUGCUAAUCAGCAAGUGCACUGAGUCGCACAAGUAAUAUAAAAUGGUAAGACCGAGUAUCGUAUCCACAGGGAACUUGUUUCAUUCAGAGAUCAUUCAUUCAAUAGGUAAACAUUUGUAUAAAGCCAGUAAAUAUAGAAAGAAGUUGUGUCAAAAGUUCUAAUUUAGCUACAAAACUUACUAUCUAAAUAUGAGAGAUAAACAGAUGAUUAAAACGUUCGGUCUUUCUACUGAACAAAAUGAUGUUAUUAAGUGUUUUUCUCUAUUUAAGGUUGUUUCUGUGUUCUAUGCCAAAAACGACUAGUCAAACCAAGAUCCCUCUAGUAAAUGAGUCUAAUUCUAUUUAAGCUUCGUUCUAGAUUCCUCGUCGAACUUAGCUUAAACGAAUUGCAUUAAUAUUAUGACAUAUUAUAAACUAAAUCCCUGCACUCUGUGUCUAGACAUACAGUUCUCUAGCCUGCUCUAUCCAGUUCUAAGGAUUUAAAAUACUUUCCAAUGCUAAAAAUCUUAACUUUACACACAAAUGGGUGAUCAAGCCACAAGCAUGCAAGAAUUAAAUACAGAUAGAAGCAAUGAACACAUAAAAACAACUUUAAAUAGAUAGUGAAGAUUUUUACAUCAAAGCUCAGCAGAAAUCCCCAACAAGAGAUUUAGCAUUCCAUUACAAGUUAGCACCUUUCAGCACCAAGAUGAGGUUUUUGAAGGAAAAUUAAGAUUACAAAGUGGUGGGGAUGUCUCCUCCAUCUCUAAAAACCUAACAAUCACUCAUAAACCUAAAAUCCUCUUGAAAGCUGAGGCCUUUCGUUCAAGCUUUUCUCUCUUGCUCUGUUUUUCGGCUUUGUUACGUCUCUCUUCCAUAAGAACUCCCUAUUUUUUCUCCAACUUCAGUCUUUUAAAGGCUUUUUGAUCCUGAAGGCUCGCUUAGCGCCAUUUUCUCGCUAAGCGCGAGUUAGUGAAUUCUCACUUAGCGAGCUGGACGCACUGAGUGCGAGAAGAGACAGAUAACUCGUUGAGCGAGCUAAUGGUGCACUGGGCGCGUGCAUGAAUGGCAGAUUUUCUUCCAGAUUCUCCCCACUCGCUAAGCGAGCUAAGUGCCUCGCUUAGCAGAUGUUACUUGCUAAGCGCAUAUGCCUCGCUUAGCGAGACACCAACUGCUUCAACCUUCUUCUUCUUCAUCCUUUAGCCUGAAACUGAAGUAGAACCACAUUAAUUCACAAUAUUGGGAAUAUCUACUCAGUAAAAUUAAACUAAACAUAAAAAUAUGUACAAACCUACAAAAAGAACCAUAAAUUGGGGAAAAGAUAUAAAUUUUAUGAAACUUUUCAAUACAAAAGUUAGCCCUAAAUGACGACUAACAACAAGAAGCAAGACCUUGGCAAUGUAGAGGUAGGACUGUGGUGGUCUUGCAAAAAUUAGAUGACAAGAAAUCAUCUCAGGUUUGAUUUCAACCUGGUUAAAGGUCUUGUCACCCAUUUGGUAGGGCUUCCUUUUGCUUUGUGGAGCUUUUCCCCUGAUGUUUGUCAGAAGUAUGUUUGACUUGCUCCUGGUUGAAGGUUUUGCUAGCCAGUUUGGGGGUAGGUCGUGUAACCUGCGAAGCUUCUCCUUUAAUGGUUAUGAAGAGUAAGUAUGACUUCCACUUGAUUGAAGGUCUUUCAAAAUAGUCUAGUGGUAGUUCAUUUUGUUGAAUUUGGACCUUUGACGAUGGUCAUCGUAGUUGGUGCAAGUGAGCAGACCAAAGGGGUGCCUUGGGUUUUGUAGGAGUACUUACCAAGGGUGGACCUUGGGGUUUGGAGGAGUGUGUUCCAAGGGUAGACCUUGGGUUUUUGAUAUACUUGUAUUCCUGCACAGAUAAAAAUUAGUAAUAGAGAAGAUCAUUAAGGGUAAACCUUGCAUACCUUGAGUUCCUAUGGAGAUGGAACUUAGUAACAAAAAGGGCUCACCAAGCAUGAACCUUGGGUUUAUCGAGCCUUGGACCGGGGAUGUAUUUGCCCUAGGUUUUAUCAAGCUUGUGGAGCUGCGUCGAGGCUUACCAAGGAUGAGCCUUGGAUUUUGUGAAACUAUAAGAAUUACCAAGCAUGGAGCUUGGAUUUAACGAGUCUUAUGUGCAGCAAAAGUGUUGUGCACUUGCAUACAUGGCACUAGCCGUGGAUGGCAUGUACUAGAGAUGUAAUGGUGUGCUCUUGCAUACGUGCCUCUUACAAAGUGACAUGUAUUAGAGACAUGGUGGUGUAAAUUAGUAGGACCCACCAAGGGUGGACCUUGGGUUUUACGAUCCUUUUGGAGGAUUAACCAGGGGAUUGUCUGACUUGGGUUUUGGGCAUCAUGCUUUUGCAUGCAUGCCACUUGCCAUGGGUGGCAUAUACUAGAGUCAUAGUAUUGUGCUCGUGCGUACAUGUCGCUUGUCGUGGGUGACAUGUACUGGAGACGUAAUAGUGUGCUUGUACGUACAUGUCACUCACCGUGGGUGACAAGUACUCGAGACUUAGUAGUGUGCUCAUGUGUAUAUGUCACUCGCCGUGGGUGACACGUAUUGGAGACAUAGUAGUGUGUUCAUGCGUACAUGUCACUCGCCGUUGGAGGCAUGUACUAGAGAAAUAAUAGUGUGCUCGUGCGUACAUGUCACUCGUCGUGGGUGGCAUGUACUGGAGAUGUAGUAAUGUGUUUGUGCGUACAUGUCACUCGCCACGGGUGGCAUGUACUGGAGAUUUAAUGCUAGAGGGAGGGCUCACUAAGGGCAAUUCUUGGGUUUUAAGAUCCUUGGAGCUACGACUAUGGAUGCUCGUCUUGAUAAGGGAAAUGUGAGAAGGGGUGUAAAAUUUUUAUUCAAUGUAUUUGAUUAAGUACAAAUUACAUUAAUUAUCCUAGAUGUGCCUCGUUAAAACCUCUCAAGCCAAAACCCUGAUUUUUCUAUUUUUGGGACAAAAGACCUGAGUAGGAAAAAAGUACAACAUUGGGUUUGCAUUUAGGUCAACUGAAGUAAAACUUUAGGUGGGUGAAGUUCCACGUUCUUGGAAUUGCUUUGCCAUCUAGGUCUUGUAGUCUAUAUGCUCCGUUGCCAAGGUUGGUUGUGACCCUGAAUGCUCGUUCCCAGCUGGGGCCAAGCUUUCCCGCUUGGGAAUCUUUUCUGGCUUCACCUUGGACUCAUCAUACAAUGUCACCAGGUUGAAAGGCUCGUGGUUGAACCUUUGCAUUGUAUCUCCUUGCUGCUCGGAGCUUGGCAGCUUCUUCCCUGAUCCUCGCCAUAUCUUGGACUUCGUCUGUGGUUUCGAGUUCUACCUUCAUAUUUUCUUCAUUUUGCUGUUGAUGGAACAACAAUCUCCUUAUUGACAGUUCCCUGACUUCAACAAGGAUCAUGGCGUUUGUGCCAUAUGUGAGUCGGUAAAGAUUUUCAUUGGUUGCUAUCUGGGGUGAACAGUGGUACGCCCAGAGUAUGCUGGAGAGCUCCUUUUUCCAUAGACCCUUAGACUUGUUGAGUCUAGUACGUAGCACCCUAAGAAUGACUCUAUCAAUUGCCUCUACCUGACUAUUGGUCUGAGGAUGUUCGACAAAGGUGACUAGGUGCUUUAUGCCUAGCCUUGUCAAGAAGUCUUUGUAAGUCUGAGCUUUGAAUUGAGUGUUGUUGUCUGUGAUAGUGGCAUAUGAGAGGUCGUACCUACAGAUAAGGUGUUUCCAGGUGAAUUUCUCCACCUCGUUGGCCGUAAUUUCCCACAGUGGUUUUGCUUUUAUCCAAUUGGUGAAGUAGUCGAUAACAACUAGCAAGUAUUUGACUACUCCUGGGGCCUUUGGCAGUGAUCCCAAUAUGUUCAUUCCCCAGGUGGCGAAGGGCCAAGGGGAGCUUAGAUUGUGGAGAUUGUUAGGAGGGGUGCAUGGCAGAUCUAUACCUCCUAGUAAAGUUGAUGGUGUCUGCCCUGAGUGUUGGCCAAUAGUAGUCGGCUCGCACCACUUUGGUCGCAAGGGAGCAUCCUCCGUUGUGGAGACCACAUAUCCUUUCAUGAAGUUCUCUCAUGACGUAGUUUUCCUGUUAGGUGUUUAGGCAUUUGAGUAGGGGUGUUGUCAACCCUUUUAUGAAUAGCUUGCCAUCAAGGAUAACGUUGUAGUUGGCCUUUCAUUUGAGGCGUCAGGCUUCGUCCUCAUUUGGUGGUAGUUCCCCUCGAAUUAGGAAGUUCUUGUAGGGGGUCAUCCAUUCUGGUUCCUCUUCUUCUCUAGCCAUAACUUCCUCAACAUCUAUGGUGGGAGUUUAGAGGGUUUCCCAGAUGAUAGUCUUGAGGUGCCCGACCUUUUUGGUGCUGGCCAGCUUGGAGGGUCUCCCUGGGUAUGUAGUACAUUUUGAAACAUUCAAAAUUUUCAAUGAAAGUCUUCAUGAUGUGAUAGUACUUGAGCAACAUUGUUUCCUUAGUUUGGUAUCUCUUAGCAACUUGUCCUUGGACAAGCUGCAAGUUUGUGUAGCAUCGUAACCUCUUGGCUCCGACUUCUCUUGAUGGCUUCAAACUUGCAAUGAGCACCUCAUACUCUACCUAGUUGUUUGAGGCUUUGAAAUUGAGCUUGAGGGCUUGCUCUAGAGUGACAUUGUUAGGGCGUUCGAGGAUGAUUCCUGCCCCGUUUCCUUUUACGUUGGACACACCAUCAAUGUAAAGGUUCCACUAGUCUGGGAUGGUUGUGUCGUUUCCAGUGAAUUCUGUUAGAAAGUCAGUCAUGAAUUAUGUCUUUAUGAGGCUGCGAGGUUUGUAGUCGAUGUAAAACUCUGAAAGUUUGACGAAUCAGGCCACCAUCCUUCAUGAGAGUUCAAGCUUUAGCAAAACUUGCUUAAUGGGGUAGUUCGUUUUGACGACCACUUGAUGACUCUAGAAGUAGGGCCUGAGUCGUCGGGCCAAGGUAAUGAGUGCUAGCGCUACCUUUUCUAUCAUUUGGUAGCUCUUUUUAGCGUCAUGAAGUGUGCAACUGGUGAAAUAAAAAGGGAGUUGGUGUUUCCCUUCCUCUUGUACGAGCAUUGAGCUAAUGGCUUUGUCAGCUACUGAGAGAUACAAAAGUAGGGGUACUUUUGGCCUGGGUCAACUCUAAACUAGUGGUGUGGCUAUGCUCUUCUUGAAAGCUAGGAAAGUUUGUUCGCAAGUCUCAUCCCAUAGGAAGGGCUCAGGAUUUUUGAGCAAUUUGUAAAAUGGCUUUGCCUUUUCAGCAAGCCUCGGGAGGAACCUAGACAUGGAUGCUAGCCUACCAUUCAAUUUCUGAACUUCAUAGAUGUUAGUUGGGCUGCACAUCUCUAGUAUGGUAAUGCAUUUUUUAGGGUUGGCUUCAAUUCCCCGGUGAGUGAUCAUGAAGCCAAGGAACUUUCCUCCGCCUACCUCGAUAGUAUAUUUUUUGGGGUUGAGGCGCAUGUCAUAUUUACAGAGUUCCCCAAAGACUUCUUCCAGGUCUGUCAUGUGUUGAGCUAUGCUUUGAGACUUGACGUCCAUGUCAUCCACAUAUAUCUCGAUGUUUCAUCCGAUCCACUAUUUAAAGACUCGGUCCAUCAGUCGUUGGCAUGUAAUGCCUGUGUUUUUUAGGGCGAAGGGCAUGACCCUGUAGCAAAAGUUGGCAUCUUCUGUGAUAAAUGUCAUUUUCUCUUCGUUUGGAGCAUGCAUCCUGAUCUAGUUGUAUCUUGAGUAAGUAUCCAAGAAGCUUAGAACCUAAAACACGGAGGCUCCAUCGACUAGCCUGUCGAUAUUGGGCAAAGGGUAUGCAUCUUUGGGGCACGCCCUGUUUAGAUCAGUGUAGUUGGUGUACAUUUGUCAUUUGUCGUUGGUCUUUUUGACCAUGACGACGUUGGCGAGCCAAGUGGAGCACCUAACUUCUCUAAUGAAGUUAGCGUUGGGGAGUUUGUCGACUUCUUCUUUGAUAGCUUUGCAUCGUUCUUCACCCAUCUUUCUUUUCUUUUGUGAUAUUGGUUUGGCUUGGGGAUAGAUGGAAAGUUUGUGGAAGAUGAUGUUGGGAUGGAUUCUCGGCAUCUCAGAUGGGUGCCAAGAAAACAAAUCAAAAUUUUUGUGUAACACAUCAGCGAUGCACCGGUGCUCAUGGCUGGUGAGGUCCCUACUCAGCUGCAUACACUACCCAGGUUUAGGUCCGAGCUGCAGCUUGAUGAGCUCUUUGAUGGGUUUUGGGCCUUUGUGUCACACGGAUCUAUGUCGAAUUUCUAGGCUUGCUUGGUAGACGGUCAGGGCUCGGAUUGGAGACCCUUUAUUCACGCUCAUGACUUGAGUGCCUUCAGCUAUUGUGGGGUGAGGAUAUGGUGCUACCUUCAAGCUUUUUGCAUAGCAUUGUUGUGCUUGCUUUUGUUCUGCCAUGACGGUUAUUAUCUCCCUGGUUAGGGUAUGGAAUUUCAUUUUCAAAUGGGGCAUGGAGAUUAUGGCUCUAAGCUCAUUAAGUGUCUUCUUGCCGAUUAAAGCAAAAUAUAAUGUAUCUGCAUCAACAAGUAGAUAUCUUAUGGUGAAUCUCCUAGAAAGCUUGCCUUGAUCGAAGGUGGUCAUUAAGUCAGUAUAGCCUCUGGUCUCUACUCUUUCCCCUGUAAAGCUGAGGAGUGGACCAGCGUGAGGGUGGACAGUGUCGGGGGAGACCUCGAGUGUCUGGAAAGUUUUUAAAUACAAGAUAUCAGUGGAACUGCCCUGGUCGAUGAGGACCUUAGACACCAUGAAGUUUGCAAUGAUGAUGGAGACAACCAUGGGAUCGUCCUGGUUGACGAGGUUGAUACCCUUGAAUUCCCUAUCUGUGAAGGUGGUAGGAAGGAGACUUCGUUGUGAUGGUGCAUCGACAAAAUUGAUGUCGAUGUUUCGAAUGGCGUGAAGAUGGCAUUUUCGGGAUUGUUCGCGGCCAGCAAGUGUACCGGAUCACACAAGUAGUAUAAAAUGGUAAGAACCAAGUAUCGAACUCUCGGGGAACUUGUGUUAUCUGGAAAGCUAUUUCGGUAAAUAGGUGUCUGGUAUGAAAAGAUGAUUGUGGUUAUGAACAGGUAUGUAAACUAUCUAUGCAAAAAGAAAGAAAAUCACGUAAGAGAAAUGUUGUAUAAAAACAAGUAGAGAACAGGUUGGUCUUCCUAAUAGGUUCCUGAUGCUAGAACGAAUGUUCUCUAUCUAACAAUGCCCAUGUAUUCCUAUGUUGUCUCCUGGAUUGUUAGACCCCGAUUCCUCAUGAUAGCCUAGCCUAAUCCAGAUCAAGCCUCGUCCGCAGAUUCUUCUUGUAAGACUAAACUCAACCAGGACCGCAUUAAGACACACAUACACAACUAAGUUCUUGUACCCCGAUUCCUCGUGACAGCACAACAACUUAGCCCCAUACUAUCAAGGACUUUAGAAUCAGACUAGUUUCCACUGUUGAAUGACCCUAACAAAGCAUGCAUCUACGUGAUCAAGGUAAAGGCAUACUAGAAUGAAAAGCAGAUAGCACAGAGAACACACAAAACAUCAUUACAGAGAUAGAAAUAUAUUUACAUCAGGUACCUACAGGGAAGAUCCAAUAGAGGAUUUAGCUUUCCAUGGUUCGGAAACCUCCUUUACAACACAGAGAAGAACAAGAUGAAAGAUAGCAAAAAUACAAGUGGUGAGGAUGUCUCCUUCACCUCUAGGAUCUCACAAUCACUCACAAACUUAUCUCAAGUUCUCAGAACGACUUCCGCUUCGAGCUCUCGUCUCUGCAGAUCUUCACACAGCAAAAUCUCUCAGAACUCUUUGGAACUUGGACCUUUCUCUCUCUAGAACUUCCUAAACAUGCAAAGCUUCAAGCCAAGGUUAGACUCUCGUGCAUGUAGAGGCUUUUUCAAGAAAAAUGCCAAACUCCCUCAAAAAAUCUGAUUUCAAGUUUAAAUAGGUGGGUUGGUCCCUACUCGCACGCUUAGCGUAAAUCUGAAUCGCUUAGCACGCAUAAGUGGAUUGUGGCUUACCACGCUUCUCUCACUUAGCGGAUGAGCUGAAGUGGUGCGCUUGAUGACCUGGAGUGGUGCCCUCAGCGAACCUGACAGAUCAUCUUCUUCUAGAUUCUUCCUCGUGCUUAGCCAUUGAGUGUCACGCUUAGCGAAUGCUCGCUAAGCCAGCAGAUUGGCUUAGCGAGAAGGUGAAAACAACAUUUUUACCAAUUUGCCUAAUUAACCUGAAAUUAAGAGAAAUUGAUUAUUAAACACACAAAACAAAAGUAUAAAUUAUCUAUUAUCUAUAUUUAACAUAAAGUACUUAUAAUAUUAUAAAACAACUAUAAAUUGGAGAAGUUUGAUACAAUAUACACAAGUUUUAUACACAAAAGUUAGUCGUUUUCACAGACUAACAGGGACUAGUUGGACUAUCCUCAAUAGGAAAAUCCGCCCGCAAUGGUGUUGAUUCACCCCUAAUUUGUUAGGCGGAUUCCUGUUCUUGUGGAGGUUGUCGUUCACACCGUUGUUGUUGGUGUCUCUGUCUUCCUCGGUCUUCCGCUCUAUCUCUUCUUCUAUUUGCAUUGUGAAUCCUUUAUUGCUCCUCUGGGUCUUGUUCCAACUUGGUAGUUGUCUGGCCUAUUGACAAACUGGGCUAGGUACCCAACUUGUAUAAGCUUUUCUAUCUUGUCCUUAAGGGGCCAACAAUCUUCUGUGUUAUGACCAAUACCGUGAUGAUACCUGCAGUAUUUGGUUACGUCUAACCCCGACCUAGGAGGUUUCGUUGGGGGUAGCCUGAUGGGAACCUUUAAGUUGAAAGCUUCCUCUAGAAUUGUAGUGUGAUUAACCGUUAGGGGUGUGUAACGCUCAUACCUGGACCCUUUUGGGAAAGGUUGAUGCUUGUCUGACUUGUGUAAGUCGGUCUUGGUACUUCUUUCUCACUUGUCGAGCUUCUGUAUGACUUGUUUGACUUCAUUCUUGAAUUUGGACAUUUUUCCAUCUGGAUGUAGCCUUUGGCUUACUCGCGCAACUCGUCCAUGCUAUCAUGGAUUUUUUUUUUGCACAGAUUGUCCGCAAAAUUGUUGGGGUGUAGGGCGAGGAGCAUGGAAUGCAACGCUACCUUAGGGUUAAGAUUUUGGAUUUGGACGAUUGUGCGCCCAAAUCUAUCCAUGAAUUUUCUGAGAGACUCGUCAUUUGCUUGUCACAGACUGGCUAAGGCAGUCGAGGUCAUACAGUGAGAUCUACCGGUUACAUACUGCACACUGAAGUGUUCAAUGAGGGUGUCGAAGCUGUCUAUAGACCUAGGUGGUAGUUCGUUGUACUAGGUCAAUGUCGCCCCCUUAAGGGACAUUAGGAAGACAUGACAUAGAAUCACAUGUCAUCAUUAGUGUAUAGGUUCGCCCGAGUCAGGAAGGCAUUUAGGUGCUCAUCUGGGUUUAUGGUCCCAUCAUACCACUCGAGGUUGAGUGGUUUCCACCCCAAGGGUAUGUCAGCCUCCAUGAUGCAGUCAACAAAGGGAUGUUGACGAGUAGUCCGCCCUACUGGACAAUGCAUGUGGGAGAGACUUAAGUCAUCUACAGUGUUGACUGUGCGUCGGGGGUGUGAUUCCCCUUGGAUGUGCUCAAGCAAUGUGUGAGCGAAGUGCUCAUUGCCUUGGGGACGUCUGAUACGAGCCUCCAGCUGAUCAUGGUCAGCCUUUAGCUUUCUCAGCUCCUCCUCAUAGCAUUGCUCCUUCUCCGUAAUUCGGUUUUGAAGUUGCUAUAGAGAAUUUGUGUCUGUCAUAACUGCCGAAUGAGGAUGAAAGUCUUCGAAAGGAGUCUUGCGUCUAAGGCUAGACCAAGUGCUAACCAUGGGUGAAAAAGGAGAGAGUUGAUGAGAGAUCGCGGGGUAUAUUUUACCAUGUCCCCACGGUGGGUGAUAAAUGUACUUACCAAAAUCCGAAGCUAGGACACAUCAGGCUAGACGUGGCCAAUGUAGGCUCUUGAACUUCACACGUCGACUUAGAGAGGCACCUUUGUUAAGAGGACAAGAGGGGGGACCUGCAAAACAAAGGACUCUGAUGCUCAAGUAAGUAUAUGAGUUAGGAGAUAAAGCAAGUGUAUGCUUAAAUGUAGGCUCGAGUGAGCAAUAGAGAGAGAUAAGCAUAGGCUUGUUGCUUGUGUGCUGGUGUGUGUGGCAUGUGUUGAGGGUUCAGUGGAACCUAGUAUUUAUAAGAGUGGAGCAUAUUUGUGGAUUCUUGUUGGUAGGGGCUGUUAUAGCCUUUGCAGAUAAUUCUUGACUUAUAGAUAAUAGCUGAUAGCUUGUAGAUAAUGUUAGAGAUAAGCUGUAGUUUAUAGAUAAAAGCUAGAAAAUAACUGUACUUUGUAGAUAAUGUGUGGCUUUGUAGAUAAUUAAAUACCUGCCAGUAGAUAAAGAUACUCAAUUAUAUUCAAAUAUUAAUAGGUUAGAGAUAACCUGUUAGUCAGGGAGCCUAACUGCUAAGGGCCGAGUGUUCAUGCUCCUGUUGCAGGGCUGACGUGGAGGGUUGACACGUGUCUUAGAGUGUCAUGUAAGGUGUCAAUUAUAUUUUGUGGACCCUGGACAGUAAAUGUGAUUUCAUAUUAUUAAUUGAUUCAAUUGUUGUUGUGGUGCGAUUUUAAGAAUUAUUAUUGGAUGCAUGAAAUUAGGGAGUUUGUUGGUAGUUUUUUUAAUGGUAUUCUUAUAAUUUUGUAAGUUGAUCAUCACCUUCUGGGAAAGGAUGAUGAUAUACAUUUUAUUAUGAGAUUAUAAUGUUAUAUACCUCCAUCUGGGAUGAGAAUAAUAUUUAUUUAUAGAUACUCCCAUCUAAGAUGGGGGAGAGAUUCUAGAUACCUUCAUCUAUGAUAGGGAAGACUAUGAGACACCAUUACAUGAAAUAUGAGCUCAUAAACUUUUUGAAGAAUCUGAAAUCUACACUGAUUUUGGAAACCAAAAAAUUGAGUCUUGUGAUUCUGGGAAUCACUAAAUUAUGUCUGUUAUAUUUAUUUGAAUACACUGAGGUAUUGUUGUUUAUUUAAAUAUUUUAUUUAUUCAGAAUGUCAUGAAUUGUAAGUGUUUUAAUCUUAUUUUUAUUAGAGUAUACACACACACACAAAAUCUUAUUUUAAAUUCAUUAUGGAUACCAUGACUGAUUUUCGGAUUACAACGCCAGUUGAGAACAACAUUAUUUACAAAACUCUAAGUUUGUUUUAUUCACUAGGAUUAUCAUCUCAUUAAAAGUGUUGUUUUCAAAGCACAAGGAAGAAGUUUUUGGAAUUGAGGAGGCUUGAAAACUUAGUUACCUUUAAAUACAUUUUUAGCUUUGUUAGUACUCAGAAUAAUAUGUCGAAUGUGACUGAUUACGUUAUACUUUUAGUGUCGGUUAUUUUUAGAUACCUAUAUUUGAGAGUAAUAUUUUUACUUAUGUAAAGACUUAUUUAUUUGACUUUAUUUAUUAUACAUGAGGUAUUUUCGGACUAAUAUAAUUUUGAGAUUUUAUAUUCUUUUUAGUAUGAGUUGUUAUUUUAAUAAAGGCGUUAUGGUGGUUGUAGUAAUAGUGGUGAUUGUGGUGAUGAUAAAUUAAAUCUUUAAAAUAUUUAAUUUUCUAUUUGAUAAAUCUUAUAGAGAUUUUAUAAUUAAACGAGAAUUUAAUUUGAAUUUAAAAUAUUUUAAUCUUGACCUUACAUUUUAAUAUAAUGGAUGAGAAUGAUCAUUCUCAUUCUCACAUAAGAAGAUCAUUCUCACCUAAAACGUCCUUCGAUCUUUCUUUAUGUAUAUGAAACGUCUUCCUUUUUCUUUCUAUAUAAAGGGGAUUAACAACCAACACCAUAAAUAUUUGUAAAAAAAAAAACCCAUUGAAUUCCUUUGUCAUUAACUUUAAUGUAAGGAUAUUAUAAUAAUUUAUGUUUUAAUUUUAAUGUUUACGAGAGAGAAAAAAUGAUUGAUAAUUUAAUGCUUAGAGAAAAUUGUCUAAAAAUUAAUGUGGACAAAGAUGAGAGAAGAAAGAUAAAUAAUUAUUUUAAAAUUGAAUCAUAAAUUAAUAUAAUAUCCUUAAAUUAACUUAUUAUACAAAGGAAUUUAUUGAUUUUUUUUACAAAUAUUUAUGGUAUUCCUUAUAAAUACUUAAGUAUAAAAGUUAUAAUUUUUAUUUUAUAUCGAAUAAUGUGGAUUAACUAUUGACUUAUUAAGUUGAUUCCUGUCCUAAUAUUACGAUCGAAUAGAUUAUCAAUUCGAAUUCGAAUCUAAUAACAGUGCUCAAUAGCAACUUCAUCUAAUAUCUACAUGACAUGCCGCAUCAUUAAAAUUGAAAAUUUGAUCGGAUAUUUGAUCAAAAACAGAUCCAUACAAGUGAUAUCUUUUGAAAGAGAUCCAUUUUGGUAAAUAUUUAGAGAGGUAAAGGUCGAAGUAAAGGUAGAAGUAAAGAGACCCAUGUAAAAACUGACCCAAAUUGGUCAAAUAGCCGUUGUAAGUUAUAACCACGUGGAGUGGAGCAGCGACUGGUAAAGGUAGAAGUAACCAUAGCGAACGUCGUUUUAUUUCUUAUUCCCCACGUUUCAAAAAAACCGUGAAAUUUUCUUAAUCUGUUGGCCUUCUUCCACGAUUCCUCUGACCUUUCUUCUUCACUUUUAAUUUCUGGUCUUCGGUGAUACCCAAUCUAUCUUCCGUUCAAAUCCCAAACCCCCUUCGCAUCCAAUGCCCUAGUUUCGCUCCAUUCUCUCCGGUUCCUCCCCACGAUGUCCAGCGACACCUCCUUCGCGGACCGCAAGCUCUGCGGUUUCCUCUGUACGGUUCUCACACUCACUCCCCGCGACGACUCAGACACCACCGACAUACCCUUCCCCGAGCCAUGCGAAAUCUUCGGCGAAGGGGGCGAGGUCGGCUUCCGGACCCCGAACGGCGUCGUUCUGGGCCCGGUGCUCGAUUCGUUGCAAUGCGGCGGUGGCGGCGGUGGCGGCUCCAACAAGAUCAAGAGAAGGAACAAGAUUGGAAUGGUGAACGGGAGCGUGAGCGUGGUUCACCAGCUCCACGCCAUGGUCACUCGCAAGUGCGCCAGAAUCGACGCUCGCGUGGUGUGCGUUGAAGCGCUUCCUAGGGUUGUGGUGCUGGUUGACGUGUAUGUCCCCGUUCAGGUAUGGAGUGGCUGGCAGUUUCCGAGAUCGGGACCCGUCGCUGGCGCCGUUUUUCGCCAUUUGAGGUUAGCUUCUUCUUUCUCGCCUUCGAAUUCUUUGUAUUUAUGUUUAGGGAUUUAGUUACUAAUAACAUUGCAAUGUGUAGAGAAAGAUCACAUGAACGAUUUUGGUGAAUUCUGCAUAAGUAAUAGUUUGCCAUACUGUAGUUGUUUGAGGUUUUAAUUUUUAAACUGUGGUUGAGUGGUAUUUAUUGGUGUAUGUUUUGAUUAAAGUUUGAAAUCAUAGUGUAGCGUGGUUUUACAGUUUGAGCAAAGUUUUUGAAAUUCUGCACUACUUAGUCCUUUGACAGUUAGUCAGUUACCAUGCUAAAUUUGGCAUUUUUUAAAAAAAAAAUAAAAUUAAGGAAAUAAAUAACUAGUUUAGCUAGAUGUCAUGGUUUUAAUUGAAGGACUACAAGUACAUACUACUAGAGAUGGUGUAACUGUUUCAUGUGAUGUUGUCUGCGAUUUGAAUCUUUGGUUAUCUUAUUGCUUGUUUGGUCACGUGUGUUGGUGUGUAUUUAUGUGUAAAUCGAGAAGCUGUGAAUUGUAGCUUUCAUGUUAUUCUACAAUUUGACAUGAGAUUUUACAUGUAUAACAUAAAUCUGAACAGACUAUAAAUACACUAUAAUUAUUUAGUGGUGUGGAUGAGAUGGAAGAUAGUUGUAACCUAUGUAACUGAUGUAAUGUUCUUGCAAGGGUAGUUGCCGGAUUCUUUUAGCUACUCUGCAUACUAGAGAGUAGAGACUAUUGCCUUGCAAACACGGUAACUUUGUGGUCACAUGUUUCAUUCCUGAUGGGUUAUAUGAAUAUCAUGACAAUUAUUGAUGCAUUGUGUUGAUUUGCAAAAACAUUGUUUUUUCUCUUUUGUACAAGAUGAGAGAAAACUCAACAUUUCUUUCUCUUUCCAUUUCUAUUUUUAAAGGGGGGGGGGGGGGGGGGGGGGGGGGGGUUAAAAUGCAUCUCAGAUCAUAAGAUCCUUCCUAAAAUGCAAAUACAUAACUCAUAAUAAAGAUUAAAAUUCAAUACAUAACACUCAACUCAAAAUAGGUUCAUAAGUCAUAACAUAACUCAUAGUAAGUUCAUAUUACUUAAUACAUGCACACUAAACUAGGAGAUCAUUCAAAUUAAAAUCAGGAAAGUCAUCUGUCAUCCUCCAGAUGAUCUUCGUCCUCUUUAAUGGCAUUUCCUCUACCUUCAUCAUCAUCAUCAACAAUUGGAGGAACCUCCAAAUCAUCUACUGGUGCACCACCACCUACUAGCUUCUUCUCCUGCUUCAACUAAGAUAGCUUCAUCUAAAGCAUCCAAUUCUAAAUUUGCUUCGUUCUCCACCACAACCCAUUCUUCAUCAGAAGCUUUGGGGGAAAGUUUCAAAAGAAUUUAUAUGAUACAUUGGUAAAAUAUGCAUUCUUAGCUAGUUUCGUAUUACACUACAAAUUGAUCAUUUUAUCAAACCUAAUACCAUCUCUAACAUGAUCAUACAAGAUCACUCACUGGUUUUAUUCUCGGAAUUCUGUAAACAAUAAAUUAAAUUGUCUGCCUUCAUUUUCCUGUGUGAAUAUACUUAACGGAUGUCUUUGGCUGUCUUAGUUAGCUAAUAGCUAAAUGUUUAUGCAGCUGUGAUUGGAAUGAGAGACGUUCAAUGCUUUCAUAUCCAGACUAUUGUAGGAAGACUUAUGGAGCAAAUGAGAGCAUUUGGAACCUUUCUGAUUGUCAUGUACUUGGUUGCAAGCUCCAUUCCGGUGUGAGCAAUUCUUCAAGGAAAAUACUAUUUCAACUUCAUGAAAUUUUUAAGGCACUACCUGGUGUAGGAAAGCGGCAGACAUUUAAUAGUUCCAAGAUAAUACCUAUGGAUAACAUUUGCAGAUCAGGCAUUUGGGAGUUAUCUGAUGAUAUUUUAACUAAGAUUUUAGCUUCCCUGGGCCCAAUGGACCUCACUAGGGUUUCUGCAACAUGUCAUCAUUUAAGAUCCUUGGCUGCUUCGGUAAUGCCUUAUACCAAGUUAAAUCUGUUUCCUCAUCAGAGGACAGCAGUUGAGUGGAUGUUGCAUCGUGAGCGAAAUGCUGAGCUUUUGCCACAUCCGUUAUUUGUAGCUCUCUCAACUGAAGAUGGCUUUAGUUUCCAUGUAAAUACUGUAACUGGUGAUAUUGUUACUGGGGAAGCUCCCACCGUCAAGGAUUUUCGUGGAGGAAUGUUUUGUGACGAGCCUGGCUUGGGUAAGACUGUAACAGCUCUCUCUCUUAUUAUGAAGACGCGAGGUACAUUGGCAGACCCGCCAGAUGGGGCACAAGUAGUCUGGUGUCAACAUAAUGGUAAUCAGAAAUGUGGAUAUUACGAGGUCAGUGUUAGUGGUAAUCACAUCACUGGUUGUACUACCUUGGGUAAGAGGGAUGUGUGCCAAGAUACCAGCAGAACUAAUGAUAACCAUGAUUACUCCUCCAAAAGAGCCAGAUUGAUAGAUCCUGAUCAGCAAAUAACUAAACUUCAUGAUUCAUGUUCCAGGGAAGAAAACAAAUCACCUGUUGAUGCAUGUUUCAAGGAAUCUAUGCAUUCAAAUCAGUUCACUGGGAGUUUGAGUCGCAUAAAGAAAAAUCUACAUUUCACAUUUGAAGAUGAAGCUAUGAUUUCCAAGGAAAGAGAAAUUGGUGAAGGAUUAAUUAAAGCAAAGCAUGCAUUAGAUGUUACAUCUCAUGUAUCUCAAAACAAGUCGCCUGGGAAGCCUAAAGGUGACUGUUUUGAGUACAAUGAUACAUGGAUUCAGUGUGAUGCUUGUCACAAGUGGCGAAAGCUUGUAGACAAUAGUAUGGCUAAUUCUAGUGCAGCAUGGUUUUGUAGUAUGAACACUGACCCUCUGUAUCAAAGUUGUAGUGUCCCUGAACAACAUUUUCAUAAUAUCUGUAAGAUAACACACUUGCCAGGGUUUCAUUUGAAAGGAACUUGUGGAGGUGAGAAACAAAAUGUUUCUUUUUUCACUAGCGUGCUUAAGGAGCACUACUCCUUGAUAAAUUCUCAGACAAAGAAGGCCCUGACGUGGUUGGCUAAAAUUUCAACAGACAAGCUUGCAGGAAUGGAAACAAAUGGCAUCAGGGGUCCUAUUUUAAACAUUUGUACUGCAUCUAAUAGACAUUUCCACAAAAUAUUUCAAGCAUUUGGCCUCUUAAAGAGAGUAGAGAAAGGUGUUUGCAAGUGGUACUACCCUCAACAUCUUAACAAUUUGACUUUUGAUGUGGCUGCCCUUGGCAUGGCUCUCCGUGAACCAUUAGAUUUUGUUAGGUUAUACUUGUCAAGAGCUACCCUGGUAGUUGUUCCAGCAAACUUGGUUGAUCAUUGGAAAACGCAAAUAGAAAAGCAUGUGAGGCCUGGUCAAUUGCGGGUUUAUGUUUGGACUGAUCAUCAAAAGCCAUCUGUGCAUUGUCUUGCAUGGGAUUAUGAUGUUGUCAUAACUACUUUUAGUCGUUUGAGUGCAGAGUGGGGCCCACGUAAGAGGAGUGCUUUGAUUCAAGUGCAUUGGUUUAGGAUAAUUUUAGAUGAAGGGCACACUCUUGGGUCAAGCCUGAACUUAACAAACAAGUUGCAAAUGGCUAUUUCAUUGAUAGCUUCAAAUCGAUGGAUACUAACAGGAACUCCAACGCCUAACACUCCUAACAGCCAACUUCCUCAUCUACAACCAUUGCUAAGGUUCCUUCAUGAAGAAUCUUAUGGACUGAAUCAAAAGUCAUGGGAAGCUGGUGUGCUUAGGCCAUUUGAAGCAGAGAUGGAGGAAGGGAGGUCUCGUCUGUUACAUUUACUUCAAAAAUGCAUGAUUAGUGCUAGAAAGAUAGAUUUACAAAGCAUUCCACCAUGCACGAAGAAAGUUGUUUAUCUAGAUUUUAAUGAGGAGCAUGCUAGGAGUUACAAUGAAUUGGUAAUCACUGUACGACGUAAUAUAUUGAUGGCUGAUUGGAAUGAUCCUUCACAUAUUGAGAGUCUACUGAAUCCAAAACAGUGGAAAUUUCGUAGUGCAACUUUAAAAAAUGUGAGGCUUUCAUGCUGUGUUGCUGGACAUAUUAAAGUUACACAUGCUGGAGAAGAUAUUCAAGAAACAAUGGAUAUGUUAGUACAAAGUGGUCUGGACCCUACUUCAGGAGAGUAUACCUCCGUAAGAUAUAAUCUCUUGUAUGGUGGUCACUGUGUCAGGUAGUACCUAGGUUUUAUUCUUUCUUGUGGCUUUAUUUUUCUUCUGGUUGUUGCUGUUUAUUAAUUUUUUUCUUAAUAAAUUGUGAAGGUGCAAGGAAUGGUGUCGCCUUCCACUCAUUACCCCAUGUCGGCAUCUGUUGUGCCUUGAUUGUGUUUCUAUAGACAAUACCAAGUGUACUUAUCCUGGCUGCAGUAAAUUGUAUGAGAUGCAGAGUAGAGAGGCCCGACCUGAAAAUCCUAAACCGAAGUGGCCUGUACCCAAAGAUCUUAUUGAGCUACAACCUUCAUAUAAGCAGGCAUGGUUAAUGGAGAACUCAGUUAACAUUCAUCUUUUUUUCCCUCUUUCUGGUUUGCAAUGCUAACAUGCAAUGUUGAUUAUUUAAUACCCAGGAUAAUUGGGAUCCUGAUUGGCAAUCUACAUCUAGUAGUAAAGUCUCCUAUCUCGUCCAGAGGUUGAAAGCUUUGCGAGGAACCAAUGAAGAGACAUACUUCAAUACAGAAAAUAGCAAUGAUGAUUUGCAUAUUGAGAAUAGUUUGCAUAGAAGUGAUGACAAAUCAUCAAUUCAGACAUGUUCUAUGAGCAGCACUAAGACCAAUUUGAACCCUGAGAAAGUUCUGAUAUUUUCUCAAUUUCUUGAGCAUAUACAUGCCAUUGAACAGCAGGUACAGUUUUAUGCCGCAUUUUGUGUGUGAUCUUUCAUGAAUUGUUCUAUUUUAUUUUUUGGCAUCUGUGAAUUCUUUUGCAAAUGAUCAAACUAUUAAAUUGGAUUUCUCUUUGGCAGUUGACUAUUGCUGGUAUCAAAUAUACUGGAAUGUAUAGCCCAAUGCAUUCCAGCAACAAGGUAUAAUGCUGGAAUUUUCUUUUACUGUUUCUUAAAAUUAAAAUUUACUUUUGGUUUCUGACCGUUGGUUAAUUUGCCUUUUCCUUUUCCAGAAGAAGUCAUUAGCCAUGUUCCAGCAUGAUUCAAAUUGUAUGGCACUUCUGAUGGAUGGAAGUGCUGCAUUGGGUCUUGACUUGAGUUUUGUUACGCAUGUAUUUCUAAUGGAGCCAAUUUGGGACCGAAGGUUAAUAUAUCAAACUAAUAUAAUUUGCAAACAAGAAUAUAAAAUUAAUUUUUUAUUGCUUUUAAGACUGAGGGAUAAAAUGAUUUUGAGAAAUUUUAAAAUUCUACAUUAUUUAAUUUUCUUCUCAAGUUGAGCAUAGUAAAAUUUUCUGUGAACUUUCUGUGUGGCUAAUAUGCAUUGUCAAUACUGAACUUUUCUGUUUUGGGAUUUAGCAUGCAAACUGGAACCAUGCUGCAUAAAGUGACUGGCAGUGUAUCUCUUGGUUUCCCAAUUUGCUGGAUCCUUCUACUUCAACCGAAAUUGGCAUGUUUAUCCAGUUUAAUUAUUUUCUAACUUGACCAAAAUGUUUUCAGUAUGGAGGAGCAAGUAAUUAGUCGUGCUCAUCGUAUGGGUGCUUCUCGUCCUAUUUAUGUGGAAACAUUAGCAAUGCGUGGUACAAUUGAAGAGCAAAUGCUAGACUUUUUACAGGUAAAUCUCUAUAAAUUGAACUAUCUUACACCUAUUUGAGUGUACUACUAACAAUGAUGGGUCUCUUUGAAGGCCUUGUUAGUUUAUGUUGUCGUUCAUGUAUGUCACUGAAAAUUGUCUCCUCAAUGUCUUUUGUUUUGUUUAGCUUUUAUAUUGUUGUUGUUGUUCAUCUUUCAAUUUGUUGAUGGUUUAAGCAGGAUGCUGAUAACUUUAGAAGAUCACCAAUUAAGGAUGCUACCGAAUCUGUUGAUGAUAGUGGGGGACGAGGAUAUAGAUCAUUGCAUGAUUUUGCUGAGAGUAGUUAUCUACUGAAACUUAGAUCUGUGUAUACUAAUUUGGAAAGUCCAAAAGGUUUGUACAUACAGUUUUUCCUUAACUGUUUUUUGUUAGCAAACAUAGAUUCAACAGAAAGAUGAGUGAUAUUGCAUUUGAGAAAUUGAAUGCGAGUAGUUUUUAUGACUUCUAUUCCUUAACUGUUUAUUUGAAAUUUUUGCCUGAAACAAAAAGUAAAAAGGUUAUGGUUAUGUUUUCGCCUAAACUGACUAAUAAGAUGCUUUAAAGUUUAUAAGCCACCAGCUAAAAGUUUAUAAGCUUGCAUAUUAAAUUAUAAGUGUUUUGUAAAAUUAUUGGAAUAGUUGGUAAAUGUAAAAUAACAUAAACAUAUUGUAUAACUGUUUUAUGUGAAUUCUAUUUUUGUUUUGUAGUCAAAAACAUUUAAUUAAAAGCUAAUUAAAUAGUUCUGUUAAAGUAAAUACUAAAAUAUUAUAUGAAAUAAAUAACCCAAAAAUUAAUAAAAAGAGAAAAGUAAUUAAAAAAUAGUUACAUAUGAACAAUGUUGAAGAACAGAUCGAGGGUAAAGGUAUAUUAAAAUAGUAAGGAUAUAAAGGAAGGAAAAAAUAAACUACAUGCUUAUAAAUUAUAAGCUACCUGAAGUAGCUAUAAGUUAGUGAAAUAUACUUGUUUACCAAAUACCUUAAUUUGGUCAAACAAAGCUUACAAUGUAGUCAACUAAGUUACAAGUUUGCUUAUUGGACAUGCCAAACACACUAGAUGUUUGGAAGUGAUAAAGCUGUUGAAAUCCUACUAUGAUUUUCUUUUCGAGUGAAAGAAUCAAGUGAUACUUGCAUUGCUCAAAAGUCACAAGUUAUUGUCAAUUCACUUGGUGAAUUUUGGUUAAAUGAAAUAUUGUACUCCCUUCGUCCCUAAAUAUUAGACUCUUUUAAAUGAUUCACACCCUUUAAGAAAGUUAGUUAAUAUAUUUAAUAGUAUUAAAAUUGUUAACAAUUUGUUUUAUUUUGCCAAAGUUACCCUUAAAAUUAUUGGGACUCAUAUCUUUCCUUUCACUUAAUUACUUCCCCACUUAAUUAAUUAAUGUGUGUUAAUCUUAUCUAAUCCUUAUAAGAGAAAUAAUGAUUUAUCUUUUUAGUACAUAACAUUUAUUGUAAAGUAAUUAAGAGUAUUUGGAUCAAAAUAUAAUUAAUGCAAAAGACAACUUGAAACAAACAUAAUUGAAAAAAGACUCUUAUAUUUAGGGACGAAGGAAGUAUGUCCGAGCACUUUAAGCCUGUUGAAACUGAUGGCAUGCUCUGACCCCUCUGAAUAGGACACCCUCUCCUCUCAACUUUCCCUUACCAAAUUGUAUGUUUUUUGAAAAUGAAUUUAGGAUAUGCACUUGCACUUGAAUGAAUUCUUUUACUUUUCUUUAUUAACUUGUUAAUUUAUUUAUUUUUUUAGAAUAUAAUUAGAAUGUAUUGAGUUACACUGUCUUCCAAUAUGAAUAGUCAUAUAGGUGAAAGUUGUUGACUUUUAAAAGUCUAUCUAGAAUGAUUUCUAAUUAGUUGAUAAUGUAAAAAUCUUUAUACUAUCACUAUCUUAAUUAAACUCUUGUGAUAAUGACUUUUUUAUCCGUUUUUACUUCAGGUGUUUGAUUGAUCAACAUCAAGCAAGUACUGACUAAUUUACUUGGAGCAAGUCCUGUGUACAUUUUGCAAGUUUGCAUGCUCUUGAAUAUGGUUUUACUUUUUGAGUAUAUAGUCUUACAAGUGCUCAUCUAAUGAAAGAUGCUUCCAUAUGCAUUGGAGAGUGGAAACUAUUCUUUUUGUGCAGAUUAUGGAGCUAUUUGCAGCGUCGCUUCUGUUUGCCAGUGAUUAAUGAAAUACCGGAAGUGUCCCUGCUUAUUCUUAUGUAAAGGAUUUAGUCUAGUUGAUUUGAUGUGAUCUAGUAGGCAAUUUGGAGUCAAGUAUUCGAAUUGAAAUAAAAUGUUGAGUUAUUGGAAAACAAGUGUUCUCCCACACCCUUUCUCUUAACAGUAGGUAAUAUUGAAAAAUCAUAAUAACCCUUGCCCCCUAAAAUUGGUGAUAUCAUGUAUGUUCUUAUGACUAUCGAUUUCAUUAUAUGCAGCUAAUAUUGUAAUUAUUAGCAAUGAUCCCAGUGCUUAUUAGUCAACAGAAAUUUCAAGAUAUAUUAGCAAUUUGAGGGAGAAAAGGUUUCUGUUCAAUUUAUUCUCAUGUUAGCCUGGGUUUUUAAUUGAUUAUUAUGCUUUGUAGGUUUGUUCAUUUAGUCAUUUGAUUUUGUUGGUCAUUCGGAACGACCACCUGGAUAGUGUAGAAGUUCAAUUAGUUAUACAAUAGGAUAUAAUAUAUAUGGAUGGAGAGAUAAUGAUAAAGAUAGAUGGAUGAAUGGAUAGAGGUAAAGACAGAUGGAUAAUCUUGGAUUAAAUUUAAUUUUGGUUACGUAUGAGUAGAAACUCCCAAAUUCUAUAAUUGUAUUCACUCACAAGUUCUACUCCCAAAUUCAAUAUUCACUCACAAGACACAAGUUGAUUAUUAUGGGACAACAUAAGGGGAUAGGAUUACCUCCUAGGGGAGGAAAGAAAUUAAAAGUUAAUUUUCAAAAUAGUAACCAACCUCCCCGUAUCAAUGUGUUUUUUCACGUUAAAAAGGAAAAAUAAAUAUCACCAAUCAUGCUAUAGGCCUCAAUUUAGCCCAAAAUAUGCAGACAAGUCUAAAAUCCAUAAUUAACUAAUAAAAAUGGUCCUAAUGUAUUCCAAGCUUGAAAUCAAGAAUCGACCAAUCAAAAUAUUCUUAAAUAAUUACAGGUUCAAUUUAGGACUUAAUGACAAUACAAAAUCCAUACUUAAGCUCAAAAUAUUUGAUUUAAUCUUUCAAUCAAGUCCAUAACGACUCAUGGAUAGCUAACACCAAAUUGGAUGAAUUUCGACAAUUAGGUUUUUCAUAACUUCUCUAACUCUCUUGACGCUUUUGUCAUUAGAUACAAACCACAAAUGGUUCAAUUGUAAUUUGUCUUUGGUAUAUUGAUAGGUUCAAUAUUAUUUUUUUCCGUUCUUUCACUCCAAAGAUUGAAGGAAAAAGAAACUUUAUGUUAAAAAAAUGUAACUUAAAAUUAUAUUUUCUUUUCAUCCUUUGGUCUCUUCUGCUUCUAAUAUUAUCCAGAAAUAAUGAAUUGAGUUCAUAUAAACAUUUUGGAUGCUGCCAUUGAAAUAGUGGUUCUUGCUAUAUUUCACAGGGCCUCACCCAUUUUAUAAAGUAUUUUUUUCCAUGUUUAAUGAUAGUUAAAAAAUAUUCGAUAGUAGUAGUAGUAGUAAAUUUGCUAUAAUUUUGACAAAAAAAUGAGUAUUUUAUUAAACUCACUACAAAUUUCAUAGAAAAAUUUAUUUUUUUCUGCACAAUUUCUUACAAAAUUUGUUUUGUAUUAUAAACUUACAUAUUUUUUCUCAAAAAAAUUACAAUAAAUUUUCCAUUUUUUAAAAUCAGUACCUUAUAAUUUAUUUUUUUAAAAAAAUACCUUUAAGAGUGCUACUAAAUUUCCUUAAAUUCACUAAGAAAUCAUAAAAAAAAUAGUUUUUUCUGCAAAGUUUUUUUUACGAAAUUUUUUUUGUAUAAAAAAAAUUCUUUUAGAUUUUCCAAAAAAAAAUUACAAAUAAAUUUUCCAUUUUUUAUAUAUUCGGUACCAAAUAAAUUGUAAGAAAAACCUUAGGAGUGCUAUGAAAAUAAAGUAAGGAAAAUAUAUUUUAAUAUUAUAAAAGUCAAUUAAUUAAAAAAAUAGUUAAUAUUUGAAUAGUAUCGCUAAAUGCUUAAAAUUAACUAUAACAAAUGAUAUUAUAUAAAUCAUUAUUUUAAUUUGUAGAUUAUAGAUUAUUUUAGCCGUUUCAAUUUGGUUUUUCUCUGCCACUUCCAAAUAUAAUUGAAUUUUCAAAAGUAUAAUUUACUUAUAUAUAUUUUUAUUUGAAUAAAUUUUGGAAGAAGAGAGCUAGGUUAAGAUUAAUGUCUGUCCUUACUUAAAUCCUUUCUAAAAAAGGAACAAUUUAUGAGUGAAAAUUAAUAAGCUUAAACAUUUUAGUCUCAAGAUUGUCUCUAAAUAAAAAUAAAGCAUUUCUAAUUUAAUUGAAUGCAUGUACAUAAGUGAAAGCUACCACACGUAGUUUUGGAUUACAAGGUGUUUAUAGUCCGACAGUUUCUAUGUGAUACAUAAUUGAGUUUUUCAAUUUACUAAAAAAAUUAAUAAUAUUCCCUUAUGUGUCAUAUUAACAUAGAUUGAAAUCAUAGUGGUCCCUAAUCAUAUGCAGAUAAGGCCUCUUGAUGCCAAGACCUUUAAGUAGCUGCCUAUCAUUUUGGAAGCAUGUGUAGUAGGAGGUAUUUCUUAGAAUUUGACAUCGAUGUUUUAAGAGAAUCAGAUGAGUCAUCAAACUGAUAAAGAUAAUGGAUUAAUAGGUCACUAAUCAGAUCAAAAUUUCAUUAAUCAAACUGGUUUAACUUGAUAUAUAUUAAAAAAAUUAUAAAAAAUAUAAUUAAUUAAUUUUAUUUAAUCAUUCAAUACUCUAAAUUUAAAAUGAUUGUCGUUAUAAAAUACCUAAUAUAUCAAAUAGUCAUCAAUAUUCAUGUCAAUGCAACUUUAUAAAUAAGUUUCAAAUACAAACAAACAUUCAAUGUGUUAAAAAUAAAAUUAAGUUUACAAAAAAUUUAUAUAUAUAUAUAUAUAUAUAUAUAUAUAUAUAUAAAAUAACACUUGAUUCAAUCAAAGACUCAAUGGAUUUAACCUGGACUACACCAAUUCUAAUAUAUUUACGAUCCCGACCGGUGUGUUUAUUGGAUUCCGAUUGAAUUCUGUCCAAUCCGAUUCUUAAAGCAAUGCGUGACAUGCGUCCAAGUUAACCUAUUUUGGUCGAUGGUGGAGGGGAGCGAAUCUUCCGCUCAAUAAUGCAUUUACUUGACCAAUAGUGUUAGUAAUGCAUGCUUGAUUUCUUUAUGCAAGAUUUUGAUUCUGGGCUUUGUGUAUAACAAUAAUUUCUAAUAGAACAUUUAAUCCCAUUAUAUUCUGAAAUUUACACAAAAGCUGAGUUCUAAGAUGGGUUCUGCAAUUCACAUACAUUGUUGCUGAAAUCCAGCAUCAGUACUUCAAAUUCCACUUGUCAUGCUUGAUUACGACGAACGAAUGCCGACACUACGCUGGCUUUGGACCAUAAAUUUAAGUAAAUAAUUAAAACCAGCGUUUUUAAGUUACACACUCAUCAUAUAAUGUGGUCUUUAACAUCUUGAUUGUGACACUACACAUGCUAUAAUUUGCAUGUAUAGUGAUGCAAUUUGACCGUAGAAGUAAUUUUAACGUUACUAUUAAAUCCUUUUUUCAACUUGCCAAGGCUUGUGGGGUUGUCGCAUUUAAUAUAAACAUGUCUUGAAGUUUCUCACAAGAUAAGGAGUGUCCCCUCUCAUUGAAAUUUAUAUCGAACUUUUGACUUUUCAAUAGAAAAGCAUGAAAUUUAUUGAAUUUGAAAUUUAAAAAAUGUUUUUUUUAACCGAGAGACAUUGAAAUAUUUUAUUUGUCACUCAACUAAUUUUCUUUUAUCAUAUGGUCCCAUUUUAAGAUAAAAUAAUAUCUUUAAUUAUAACUUAAUUCUCAAGUUAGAGAUCAAACAUUAUACCUUAAUUAGUUAAAAAUCCAACUGUGUGAAAUCACUUCUAUCAACAACGAAUUUUGGCCCAUCUUGUGCUAACAACUAAGUUGUUAUUAAUUACUAUACAGAUUGCGUCUAGGUUCUUCAUUUACAAUACCAUGGGACCUAGGAGUCUCAAUCCCUUUUGAAUAAUCCACACCAAACUUUGGCAUAUAAUACAAUGACAAAGCAAGUCAUUAAUGACCUAGAUUGAGACCUAGCACCUACACCGAGCCCUUACUAGUAUAAAAACCGAACACUAAGUGUGAGUUAUGCACACCAACACCAAAACAAACCCACUAAGAUGGCUUCCUUUGUAUCCUUCCUAGUGCUGCUUCUUGCAGCCCUUAUCCUCAUGCCUCAAGGGCUUGCUACUUACUACAAACCAAUUAAGAAGCCACCAGUGUACAAGCCUCCAGUGUACAAGCCACCAGUGUACAAACCACCGGUUUAUAAGCCAAAACCACCGGUUUACAAGCCGAAACCACCGGUUUACAAGCCACCAUAUAAGAAGCCACCAUACAAGAAACCACCUUAUGGAAAGUACCCUCCAGUAGAGGACAACACCCAUGCCUAAAGCAAGCAAUGAGGUCUAUUAUCUACUUAAUAAAUAAGAGGAACUGCUUUGUGUUUUCUAGCAUUGUGACUUACAACUUCGUAGCAAUGCAUAUUCUUGACUCUUGCAUGCACUUCAAUCCUUCGUAGCAUUAAUGAUGUGGCCAAGUCAUCAUGAGCAUCAUACUUAUUUCUUUGUGAAUGUAAAUCAAAAUUAUAAGAGAGAAAAUGGUGCUUUUGUACUACAGAUUACUAUAAAUAAAAAACUUUUAUGGUUUUCAGAUUGUGCUGGUUGAUUGAUUUGCUCUACCAUUAAUUAUGACGAAACGUAGUUUUUUUUUUUCUCUUUUUUAAUCCGUAAAAAUAAAAAAAAUAAAAAAAUAAAUUUAUAAUAAUUCACACUUUAUUUAAUUAAUCGAAAUAAAUUCCAUAAUAGAUGAUACAUAGUUUGACAUACUAUUGUUAAGCUUAAGAUUAAAGAUCGACCCUAUGUUGCAACUAAACUUUCUACAAUCAAUUUUAUAAAUUGGAUUGGUGCAUGUAAGUCUAGCUAGCUAGAGGCAGAAGAACAGUACUAGAGUAGUAGAUGGAAGCCACUCUCCACGCACCUCAAAUAACUCGCAAUUAAACUUGAGCAUAACAUCAAUAGCGACUUAAGUUAAUUUCAAUUAUGGGCUCUAUUUGAACAAAUUUCUCUAUAAAUAUUUCCAGAAGAAAAUAUUAAGAAAACAAUAAAUUGAACUUCUCAUUUAAGUUAAAAUAAACAUAUUUGUAUAUUUUUUAUAUAAAAACUCUCAUUUAACUUCUCUUAAAAAUAUUGAAGUAUAUAAAUUAAUUUUAGCUUAUGAAAAAAAAAAUCAACUUAUUUUAAUUUUCUAUUCUUAAAAAGCCAUAGUUAUAGUUAAUGUGUACAAAGACCAGUUCCUACGAGAGUUGCUGUAUCCUCCUAAACCAAAUAUCCGAAUACUCCUACUCAGUAAGAAUAUUUUGAUAUCUGUUAAUAAUUUUAUAAUAAAUUAUUUAUUUAAUUUGACAUUUUAAUAUUUAAUUUCUUUCCAAGUUUACCCCUUUUCCAUAUGACCAGUCAACUUAUCCUCUUCAUUCGACUUUAAAAAGAGUGGGUGGUGGUGCGGUGAAGCUGAAAACCACACACAAUGAUGGUGGUGGAGAAUGUGAAAAUGGUUGUGGUCGGAGAAGGAGGUACAAGGGACAAAGUUAACUGAGGAAAAAAAAAACUCAGCGUGAGAGAGGGUCUUUUGAAAAAAAGGACAAAUUUGGAAAGGAGAAAAAAAGUUAAAAAGUGUGUUAACAAGUGUGAAUGCUUAGGUGAUUCAGUUACUUUUUCGCCACAUAUGAUCGGAGGAAUAAACAUUUCUCUUUUUCAUAUUACUAUUUUUGUAUGUUUGUCUACACGUACAUGUGGACGGUUAUUUGUAUCAAGUAUCAACUACAUAUGGGUGUCAAAAUUUAAAACUGAACCGAAUUUAAUGAAUUGAUUCAACAACUCUAAUAUAUAUGUGAUGUGAUUUGAAUUUUAAUAAUUUGCGUACGAUUUUAAUUUAAUUUUGAACCUACUUCAGUACAAAAAUUUACGUAUAAUCUUACUACAAGUACUUAAGUCACCACAAUCAUCUACACUCACAUCUUGAAAAAGUGACAUUGAUAGCAAAUUCAUGAAGUACUCACAGCUAACGUCAUUUGAUGGUUGAAUGAACCCCUCAGCUACCCAUAGCUGAAUGAGUGUUCUCUUAUCAAACUCAAAACCUUUUGGAAACAAUGAACAAUAAGCAAAACAGUUUUCCAAAAAUGAAGGAAGAUGGUCAAAACUCAGUUUAAGGAUUGCAAAGAUUUUGUCCUUCUCUUGAUCUAUCUUUGAAAACCCAACUUCCUUAGAGGCUAUUACUAUGCGCACCCAGCAUAAUUACUGGUACAUCCAGCAUAACAGCAUAAUUCCCGUUUUGUCCUUUCCUAAAAUUGAUACAAAUUGUCAAUUCAUAUAAGAUUUACGGAUUGUCCAAUCUGUAAGUAGCCCAAAUAUUUUUUUAAUUUUUUUUUUAAAAAAAUAUGUUUUAUGAAUUAAUUUAAAAUUAAUGAUUCAUGCAAGAAUCAAACUUAUAACUUUCACGUUAUUAACACGACAUUCUAACCAAUCUCAAUAUUCUUGUCAACCCUUUUAAGUUAUUUUCUUUAUGUUAGUUUUUAACCGAUGUUGAAAGUGCCGAUGUUGAAUGUAUUAUCGUUAACAUCGGUUUUAAAAAAACUGAUGUUAACGUUAAUUUUACAACAUCGUUUAUUUAAAUAACCAAUGUUGAUAAUAAGAAUUACACCCAAAAAAAUGUAUUAAUGUUGAUAGUUAACAUCGGUUUUUUGGAAAAAUCGAUGUUAACGUAACUUAACAUCGGUUUUUUUAUAUAAAAUUGAUGUUAACGUAUGUGUUAAUGUUGACAGUUAACAUCGGUUUUUUGGAAAAACCAAUGUUAACGUAACUUAACAUCGGUUUUUUUACAGAAAACCGAUGUUAACGUAUGUGUUAAUGUUGACAGUUAACAUCGAUUUUCUGUAAAAAAAAAGAAAACCGAUUUUAACGUACGUUAACAUCAGUUUUUUCCAAAAACCCGAUGUUAACGUAUGUGUUAAUGUUGACAAUUAACAUCGGUUUUUCCAAAUAAUCGAUGUUGUUUUCAGGAUUUUUUUUUAAAUAUUCUCUCUGUUUUUACAAAAAAAACCAAAAUUUAACCUGUAAAUUUAAAAUUAGACCACACAGCAUAUAUGAUUUGCAUUUUGCUUUCAAAUAGGUUUUAGCAGAAAACUAGCUAGUAAACUAUUAAAAUGAAACAUCAAUUGUAAAAAAUGUAAUGCAAAGUACGGUAAACUAAUUAAGUAACCUAAAGUUACAUAGUUCCCUAACAUCCUAUGUUUGAUUUCUAACUUUUAGAUAAUAUUGUGCCCACUGCAUGUGAAGCGCCUUGAAUCUCUCUGCUUCCAAUGAUCUAACAUCAUUAAAAUACUGGAUGAUCAAAUAAAAGAUAAAUUAAUGAUGUAAUAACAAUGAUAAGAAAAUCAACUUUGUUUGAAAUAAACAAUUACCGUUUCUCAAUUAUUCCUGAAAGUUCCUGAGAUUAUCGUGGACAUCUAGUGCAUGACGUAAUAGCUGUACUCAGUGUUUCGUUUUUGUCUAUUACACUAAAUACAUAAUGAAAUUUGGAUAUUAAUUAAGCGUUAACUACAAUUAGUGUACACACACAUAAGCAGUAUAUAUAAUUAGAAGUUUAAUUUAAAUCACGUACCUUAACAACAAUCCACCUAGCCGCAGCCUUGGAUUUAGGUUGUGGAGUAUCAUCAAGUCCUUUCAAAGCACUAUUGAAUACGAGGAACAUUAAAAUAUUGAUGUUGUUGAGUUAUGCUAAUGCAAAUAUAUUGAAAACAACAUUGACCUGUUAAUUAUUCCCUUAAGGUAGUUGUCUGGCCUGUUAUGUAAAGAACAAAACCAGACAACUAGGUUUUCCUUAGGCAAAAUGACGACCAUUUGCCAGUGUCCGCUGCAGUGGAGACGAAUAUGGGCUAUUGUAAUAGUAUAGAUUAUUUAAAUUCAGUUGUUGUGUUUGACUUACCAAUUCAGGUAAGCUCCAAGGUAAACAUCGCGUUUUGAACCCUGCAUCCAACUCUUGAUGUAACUUUUCGAUUCAAAUUGUGAUUGCCCAAAUCUCUGAAUGGACUGUGGCUCGAGAAAUCCAUACACAUCGGAAUUCCCCGCUCACAUACUUGUCUCAGUCAGAUGCCUGUGUUGUUAAGACAAAGUUAAUUAUGUAUGAAUUUAAAACAAUUACUUUGUUAAUUAACAGUAAUCUAAAUUGACUUACAAAAUUCACAACUGUAUAACAGAGAUGCUGAGACAUUGACCACCGUGUGCUAUUUCAUACAGAUCUUCAUGCUUUAUGUACAAGGGAAAGUCUGAAUUAAACAGCCCGAACAGGGAAGCAUCCCACAUAACCUUGAGAGGCUUCAAAAACAAUUGUGGGAUGGUCAAUGUCAUCAGAUGCAGAGGAUCAUCGACCUCACGAUCCGGGCUUUUUGGAGGUUUUGCUAGAGACACAACUGCCUGUUAAUCAAACAUAGUUAAUUAACAAGUUUUGAUUACAGUGAACAAAUCAAUUGAAAAAAAGAAACAUAUAAUCAGAGUAAAAUACCUGUUCUGAUAAACGUUUCACGAGAUGUAUCGGCCAAGCAAGGAAGGUGUUAAGUGUCUGCCCCACUAAGGUAACCUUGUCAAUGGGUACAGGAACGGGAGUCUCUGCAUCUUUAACCUCCUCAACACCAACCUUCACUUGGCCAUGCAACAAAGGGAUGUUAUGAACCACUGUGGAUCCCUCAUAAAGUCUUCCUAGGGCAACCAAGUAGGAAGGAUUUUCUUCAAUUUACAGCCCGCAUUUGUCUGAGUCAUCCGUCUCUGGAUCGUUCCCUGAGGAAUCAACACAACUCUUCUUUGUGCUGACACGAGCACUUGAGGGACCAACCUUUGGCUCCGGAGGCAGUGUAAAUCCCUGUGAUUGCAUCUGAGACUGAAACUGGGACUGCAUUUGGCUGAAGGAUGCCAUCACCUGCUGAGUAACUUUUUCUGUGAUCGACUCCUCCAGCUAGUCCCUGAUUUGUUGGGUUAACUGUUGUAGGUCUUCAGGAGGCAUAGAGGAAGAACUACGGGACAUUCGUGUAGCCAAUCCGAAAUAUUGCUUUAUGGUCACAUCAGCUCCAGCAGCACGGACACGGCCAGGGUGCUCUGAUCGCCCAAUGACAACAGUCAGGACAUCCUGACGUCUAUGGGGGACGAACGAUCCCUGUGACGCCUGCUCCUCCAAAGAAUCCUGUACAUAACACAUAUAUCUGUCCAAGGCAUUCACAAAAUACACAAAGAUAAUUACAAUUCUUAAUUGAAAAUGACUUACAAUCUUCUCAGUUAUUUCCUUUGUUGCCUCAGACGUCAUCGGCCCAGUUUUCUUUGUGUAGACCAUUUUUCACUUCAUGUGGCGUCUGAUGGGAGAUGGAGGGUCAAUGACGCCCUCAGUGCUUUCGGAUUGGGCAGCUUCCUCCAGUCUUUUCUUUGUCUUCUCAGCCAUAAGCUUUUGUUCUAAAUAUUCAUAACCCCCACGAAACAACACGUGGGGGGCAGUGUUUUGCUUCUGGAUGACUUGUGUUUUUUUCCGCACAUCCUGCAAAAAUCGAACAUUAAUGAAAAUGAUUACUACAAUGAAUUAUAAGAAGUUAUUUUUUUUGUGGAAAACAACUAAAAUGACAAACUACAUACCUCCCACGAGGGGUCUCUGCGGGUCUGACAAAACUUGGCCCAUUUCUCCUUGCUAAUGUCGCAUUUUUCACAGACAGUGUCGUCCACACCGUCCUUGUCGGCUGCAAGUGCCCAUUUCCUGGUCAAGUCAGAUUUAAACUGCCUCCACGGCUUGUCGACAGUCUGAAGAAUUUUCUUCUUUGUCCUACUGUUAGAAGCUUCAGGGAUUUCAGAUGUUAAGAUCAAGUAGUUAACAUCGGUUUUGACAUCGGUUUUGAAAAAACCGAUGUUAACUAACUCGACUUAUUUACAAAAAUGUCAUCGUGCUUUUCUUAACAUUGGUUUUUUAAAAAAUCGAUGUUAAUCGUGCGAUGUUAAAUCUAUAUUUUGUAGUAGUGUUUAGGUAUCUCAUAAAUUAGUCAAUUUUAUUUUGAGUUCUUAAAUUUUUUUCUUUUUAUUUGAUCCUUGAUAUUUUAUUUUUGAGUUCAUGCCGUUAAAAAUUUUAAAAUGCAAUUUUUUACUACUAAAAAUAAUAACAAUGUAAAUUUAUUUAAAAUAUUAAAUUACCAUUUAUGGCAAUUCAAUUGGAAAAAAUGAAGUAGAUAUGAUCAAAUAAAACCUUACAGACAAGACGAAGUCUAAGGUGGUCAAGUGAGUUAGGUGAUUUCUGGUGGUCAAAUAAUUUUUUGCCAAUAGAUUUAUUAAUAAAAUAUUAAACCAUUCAGAUGAAAUCUUUUUGUCAGUUUUUAACAAUUAAAAUUAUUUCCUCCCUUGUCUGUCGUGCACCACCAUUGGCAACACGUCACUACCUUGCUUUACUUUCCACUCUUCUUCUUUCCCUCUAUUUCCCUUCGUACUUUGACACCUCCGUAACCUCACUGUCAUGUUGUUGAAUUCACAUCCUUGAUUUUAAUUAUGACAAACCAUUAGCAAAACAAAUUGAAAGGAUGAUGGGUUUAAGUGAUGGCUAACAUUUCUCCCAAGCGUUUUAGUGUUUAUUCCUUAAGAAGCAUAAGUGUUCUUUCAUUCUGAUGUACUUAGAAUGAUGCUUAGAAAGGUUCGAAGAAUUGUUGUGAGAGUUGAAAACUUAGAAGAAUCCUUAAAGCCCAUCAAAAUGAUGAAAUUUGCUUCCCUUUGAAUACUUAGUUCUUGGCAAGAUACUGAACAACCUUACAUAAAAGAUUCAUCAAAAGAUUCAUCAAAGGCUACCAGAAGAACAUCUUGGUUUAGAAUGAAGUUAUGCAGAGUCUACAUAGAAUGACAAACACCUUGACUCUGAGUUUCUAAACAUCAGAAUGAUUCAGAAAGACUCAUAAUGCAUCACUUAAACAAUAUUAGAAGAUUAAAGUUUCACAUUUCUUCACUUUGCAUAUGCCACCACAAUCACUGUAGGCACGUUAGAAAGUAAGAAUUGACUGCAUAAAAAGAUGUAAAAUUGUUGAAUGAUGAAGUUGUCCAUGAGAAGCAUUAAUGUAAACCAUCAGAUUGAAGGACUAAAGAAAACUACUCAGCCUGACCAUAGACAAAACACUAACACACCAACAACUCAAUUUCUACUAAGUCUUUCUAAAGUAAAUCAACUUAAGAAUGUUUCAAAGUUGUGAACAAGUGUUAAGAGUGAUGAAGUUGUACGACUUCGGAUUGAAAUUUCUAUCUAAACUUCGUCAAAGGAAUUCAUUAAGCAUGGACUCAUUCUUUACAAACAUCAUAAUGACUAUUGUGAUGGUUCUUCAGAAUCCGCAUAAAAAAAGUUCCUCAGAAUGGUAAUCUCCAAAUGGUUUUGUCUACUGUCACUUCAUGAUAGUUAUAAGGUGAACCUACUUGCUCCAGAAAUGUUUCAGUUGUGUGGAGCCCACUACAAUGAUUUUCUUGGGAGCUUUAUAAGGAAUUUUAGAAGGCUAUGAAGAACAAGUUGAAGCAUUCCAAAUUUGUAUCACAUUGUGCAAGUCCUUUGAGUAAGAAAUUUGUGUUUUAGCUUCAACCCUCUCUGUUAGAGUGACCCACUUUUGUAUUGUGCUUUCAAAGCUUGUAAUAACCUUAGAUAGAAAUGAGAGAUUAAGUUCUUGAGUGGAAUCCCUCAUGUGAGGUGAAAAUCUUUAGCAUGUGUCGUAAAACCAUAGAUAUUUUUUUUUUAUGUAAAGUCCAAUAGUGACUAGCAAAGGUGAAAUCCAGUGGUGCAGCUGGUCUAGUAGAAGAUUGAAGUCUAGUAAGGAAUUGACAAGGUUGUGAAACCCAAUGGUUGUUGGUCCAGUUGUGAAUUGGUUGUGUUACUGAAAUAACAUCUUUAAGGGUGAGGAUUGGACGUAGCCCAAGGUUGGGGUGAACCAGUAUAAAAACCUUUGUGCACUUUCUUCUCUUUCUCUAUAUUUUGUUCUUGCACAAAUCUAAAACUACUUUUGUAUAAAAUACUAAAUUUGUUAACUUUUUAUCUUAACAACUAAACUAAGUUUUGUUUUAUCAAGAGGUAUUAGUAAAGAACUAUCUUUAAAACAAAAGUCUUAAAACUGCAAAAGAACUAUUUUUUUGAAUGGUUUGCAUUUUCAUUCUGAGUUGCUUGAAUUUCCAUUCUAAGCUCAUAACAGUUUUUAUAUUCUGAACUACCAUAAAAAAAACCUUUUUGUUUUCAAAGGAAGAUUAAAAGUUUUCAAAACCCCAAUUAAACCCCCAUUUUUGGUAUUUUUCUCACUUCAAUUAGCAUCAAAGUUUAAAUGAGUUAUUCACGAGCCCUUAAUGUCAAGCUUUCAAAGCUUGAGUUUGACUCAUUUAAAUAAUCAAGCUUAAUCUCAAGCUUAAAUUUGUUUGUUUAAUUAAACAAAUGAACUUAAAUGAUUAAUUAACAAGUUGAACUUGAAUAGUUCACAAAUAGUUUGUCUUAUUCACAUCCCUAACUCUUCAUUUUUUUAUCCAUAGGAAUUGAAUAAGAUAUAAAAAAAUUUAGAACACUCAGACACCCUGCUUAAUCAACUAAGUUAGACACCUUUAGUCCCUAACUCUUCAUAUGGUUAUAAUCAUAUUCUAGUAACAAUAUGUUUCAUUUCACUACCUUACUAAAUUACAGGACUGACUUCAUUAUUUUGCAACACCCUUUACAUCACAUCAUUCAUUCAUAAAAUUUGCAUUAGUUAAAUAAAAUUAUUCAUCAUCAACAACUAUGUAAUGUAUACCACCAUGCAAUCAAAGGAUAAGCAAUUAAGAAAAUAUUUAAGCUUAUAUAAUCCAAGUAGCAUGAUUGCCUUAAUUGGUACAUAAUGCAAGGCAUAAAAACCAAAAAGUGGCAGUAUGUGUAAUAACAAAAUGAAACAAAGGAAGGAGAAAAAAUUAUUUGUGUGUUACAAAUAAAGAGGAGGAAGAAGGAAUAAUUUAAAAAUAACUCCAUAUAUUAUUUGUUCUAUUAUUUUAUCCAAUGAAUUGUGAAGAAAAUAGAUGCAUUAGUAACUAAUUAUCUAUAAAAUUAUAUGAAUUGGUCCAAUAUAUUAUUUAUUUAUUUUGUAAUUGAAGAAUUUUCUCAUGAUUAACUUAGAUGAAUAAUGAAUAAGUUAAUUAUUUUGUUGCUCCUAAUUUAACCUGGUGUGUCUAUAACUCAUGGUUCAGGUUGACCCAUUCUCUUAAUCUAACUUUGUUUGUUCAUUGAGUUGCUCUUUAAUAUGGGUGGGCUUAUUAUCAACAUGGCCAGUAAUAAUGGGAAUUGAAUCAUGCACUCUCAUAAGUGUAUCCUAGAUCCCACUAUUCCGUUUGAAAUUAUUUGAUUGCCUUUAAUCAAUUAGCACUAUCUUCCCCAACCCAUUCGCGAUGUCUCCCUCCUACGAAGGUUGCUCCCUUCCUCCUUCGUCUCAAACCUGCAUAUCCUCGUUCCCUUCCUUCUUCGUCAUUGAAGGCAAGCUUCUUCCUUUCUGGUGGGGUUGGGGUUGGGUUCUGGUAGGGAUGGGUUUUGGGGGUGGCUUCUGGUAGGGGUGGUUUCCGGUGUGGAUGGGGUCGCAUUUCAAAAUGCUCAUUCUGUAACCAAAAAAUGCUUUCGGAAUGAGCUUUCCAUAAGCAAAAAAAGCUUCAAUUUUUCAUAAGCCAAAAAAACAUUCAGAAUAGUUGUUCUGGAAGUACUUUAGCUUAAGCAACGACUAUUCCAUAAGCAAAUUUGUAAAUCCAAAACAUCCUGUCUAGAAGUGUAUUUUAUAUAUUUUGUAAGGGGGGUUCCAAAAAUUAGUAUUGGGCUUACAAAAAGCCCAUUAUGGAAGCAACAUCUGCAAUCCAAAGUAGCCUUUCCAAAAGUGUAUUUUGCAUCUUUCAAAAAGUACGAUUUUGGCUUAUGGAAUGACCAUUUCGAAAACAAAAUUGCAAUCCAUAAUAGUUUUUUGGGAGUACAUUUUGUACCUUCCAAAUGUUCAUUUGAGACAACAAUAUUUUUACUUACGAAAUAGGUGUUCCAUAAGAUUUUUCCUUCUGAAAUGGUCAUUCCAUAAGUGAAUUUAUCCCUUACGGAAAGCCUAUUUCGGAAACAAGUUUACAACAUGAACGUGAAUGCACGUUAAAAUGUACCUGCAAAGUGGAGAGUUAGAGAAGGAGAGGGACUUUUGCGGUGUUGAGUUGGACUUGCUUUGUACCUUCAAUGGUUGCGAGAAAAAGAGUUGGAGAAGAUAAGAAGAACUGGAAAAGGGGUUUAGACUUGCGCUAUAGGAAGAGAAGAACGAGAAUGGGCUGCAACUACGAGAGAAAGAAGGGAAACCGAGGAUGAGGAUAGAAAGGGUAGGUUGGGGUUUAUUAAAAAAUGGGAGAUGCAUGAUACAUUUAGGGAGGUGCAGAAUUCCAGUAAUGACCAACUCAAGUCCAAUUAAUGGUGACAUCAUAAGUUAAUGACUUAGUGUCACUUUUGAUCCAUUAUGUUUCGCAAUUAUUUUGUUUUAAUACAUUGAGUUUAAAAUGUUUCAUUCCAAUCCUUUAUGUUUUUGAAAUAUAUUGUUUUGACUCUUUUUCUAAUUUUCUAUUUGAAAUGUUAGUUUUUUGUUAAUAUUUAAAUUUCAAAAUAAUUAAUUUAUGACAGUGGUGAUUAAAAAUCGUCACAAUAUUUAAAUUAAUUAUCUUAUUAUAAAUAUAAUUAUUUAAACAUUAAUUGUAGCAAUUUUUAAUUCCAACAAAUUUCUUAUUAAAUUUUUAUAAAUGAUUCUUCAUCCUUGAAGAUUCAAUCUUCAUUCCACAAAUCAACAAAUGCAGUUUACAAAUAGCAAGAACAAUUUUUAUUUGCAAGAAACAUAGAGAUGUUCACUCAAUAAUGAUAUAAAACUUGUUCUUUUUUACACAACAAAACACAAUGAGCCCUUUUUUUUUUUAUCACAUAUGACGAAAGCAACAGCUCCAGGGUCAUUAAUUAGCUUUGCAAACGGGAUCUGAUAAUCACAACCGUGGUUGAUAAUCCUCCAAUGUAAUUUGUGUUUAUAAAUUUUAUUUUUUACUCCUUUAUAUACUAUUCAUUUUCUAAAAAAGAUUACUCAUGUAUGUAACUAAAGAUUAUAUUUUUUGUUUCUGUUUAAAAAAAUGUUUUCUUAUGUUAAUUUUUUUUCUUAAUCGAUGCUUUAAUGAUAUAAGUAAUUAACUAUUUGCUCCUGCAAUGUAGUUUAAGUGUUAUGCUACAUUGUUAGUUUUUAUAUAUGCAUGUGGGAAGGUUCACUUGGAACAAGUUGCAGUGCAAACUUGGAGUCUAAUAUACAUAUAACCAUUAAUGGAAGCCUUCAUUCCAAUAGACAAUAUAUAUAAGUUGUUUCGUGCUUAUAAAAUUGUAAUGUUUUUUGUAAAGGAUGUUUAAGUGUGUCAAAUAUGUUAUAGCAAGGCAAGGUACGUAGCAGUAAACUUUAAAUGAUGAGUCAAGCAUUUCCAGUAAAUCUACUCUAAUUGCAUGUUUACAUUGAAAUUUUAAAGUAUUAUUCAUUUUAUGUUAGUAGUCCUACAGCUGGCUACUAGCUAGCAUGAAUGUUUAUGUUGUUAUUUUGUGGAGAAAGUCAAAUAAUUGUUUUAGGUGAUUAAUUUCACGCAUUUAGAUAUGGAUGCUGAAAAUUCUUAAGUCAGACUUUGAAUUGUUUCAUGUUCAUAUUAAUAUUCAUAUAAAGAGAUAAACAAAUAUGUAACUUAGCUCUAUUUUUGUUUUGGUGAAUUAGCUCUAUUUAUUAUAGUCUAAUAAUAAUGGCUGCAUGUUGGACUAAAUAGCAGAAAUAUACUUUGCGGAGAUCAUUAAUUGUGAUCAAAAUUGUGGCAUUUUUUUAUUACCACUCAUAAAAUUAUCACCAUGAAAACCCUACUAAUUACGCAUUUAACGAUCCUCAAUUAUUUCAGUAAAAUAAAUUUUUGUCUACCUUAAUUUUUUUUUUCUGUAAAAUUCUCCUAUAGUUAAAUUUACAAUAGAAAUUUUCAAACGAUACUUUUUUUAAGUAAAUAAUUAAUUAAAUUUAUGCAAAAUAAUUAAAUUAGGUCAUAUCAAAUUUAAUAUGAAUUAGAUUAUUAUUUUAAUACUUAUUUACUUACAUAAAAAUAUUUAUUUUUUAAAAAAUAUAAUUAUUCACAUGAGAUUUAUAGCAAAUAAUUUUUUAACUUAAUAUUUUUAUAACUUAUUACAACUUUUUUAAACAUUAUACACCAUUGUUUUAUUUUUUGCAAUUUAUUUUUCUGUAGUUAAGGUACAACUUUGAUGAGGAAAAUGGACCAAUAUUAUAGAUAAAUCACAUUAGUCAAAAAAAUGUGAAUAAGAUGAUUUAUUAAAAAUCAUAUCACCAUUAAUUUAAUGUUUUAUAUAAAAGACAGGUUUGAUAAUGAGUUUAUAGUUUAGGAAAUUUAAAUUAAGUGAAGGGUAAAAUGUCAUGAAUAAGUUUGAAAAUUCAUAUCUUAUUUUUAGGUAUUGAGAGAAGGAUAAUGAAUUUUAAUGAUUUUAAUAUUGUUUAUUUGAAUUUGUGCAUUCGUUCAAUGAAUUUUAUUUUUCAAUAAAAAUAUCAAAUGUAGAAAAUAAAAUAAAAGAUUUUUUCUUUUUCACUAUUUUGAUUCUUAAUUUCAUAAAUAUUUUAAAUAAAUUUUAUAUUAAAAUUAAAAAUAUAAUAAAAAUAUUUGUUUUAAUCAAACGUGUUUUUAUUUUUUAUAUGAUUUUGAAAAGAAAUUAAAAGAGAGAAAAUACAAAAUUUUACUCACAAUAUAAAUUUUUUUCAUGAUAUAAAAAAAGAAAAUAGGAUUAAUAAAAUUUUGUAUGAUAAAAUAAUUAAUAGUAAAUUUAUUUAUUCUUUCUUUUACUUAUCAUUAUUUUAAAAAUAUAUAAAAUUUCAUCAAAAAUAAAUAUAUUGUAAUUCUUCCUCAAGUUAAAUGAUAUAUAAAGUUAUAUUUUCUUAACUCUAAUUUUUCUUUAUAUAUAUAUAUAUAUAUAUAUAUAUAUAUAUAUAUAUAUAUAUAUAUAUAUAUAUAUUUUGUUAAAUUUCCCUUUACUUCCAAAUAAAUAAUAAUUUUCAUUUUCCAAAACAAAAUUAGGUGAAGAGAUGAUUUGGAAAAAUAAGUAAAAUUUGAGAUAAUUAUUUUUAAUUAUAUAAAAAUUUCUAAACAAAAAUUGUAAAUGUUUAUCUGUCAUUAUUUUUCUGAAGUUUUAAAGUUAUUGUUUAAAAAAAAUUACACCUCCUACACAUAAUUUGUCCAGUGUGUCGCACAGAAACAUGUACUAGUGUAUGAAUAUAAGAAUAACACAUCCUUAUAUAAGUAAUUUGGUGUGAUCAUUUAUAUUUUCUUUUUCUUUUAUGUGAUUCUCAUCAUAUAAUAUAAACGGUAAUAUUAAUAUAUCGUUAGUUUGAGUAAAAUUAAGUUUAUUUUUUAAAAAUAAAAUCUAAGAUUCAAAUGUUAUAAAUAAAUAAAAAAUAUGAUUAAAAAAAAGCCAUCUAAUUUUUUUUGACAAAGGUUAAUGAUAAGUUUAAUCUGAGCAAUAACAUGACAGUAGAAGCAACCGACUGCAACUCGUCUACUUGAAUAUCUUCCUAAUAAUUGUUUCAACUUUCAAGCCUCGUGUGCUUUGACAUUUAUGCUCCAUAUCCUGAAAAUUUUGAUAAGAUAAGGGACCAAUCUAUACACAGUCCCAAGGAGAUUUGCAAGUAAGAAGAGAAAAAAAUAAAAUUCCAGACCCAUUGUUGGUGAAGGCGAAAUGUGUAGUGGGUUGUCAACGCAAUGCAAUGGUUCACAGUGUGCUGGUCUUAUUGAUGUUUUUUGGUUGCAGGUUCAAUGGUGGUUCUGAUGUAGAGAAGAAGAUGAAAGGGCCAAGGAGGAGAGAAUGGAACAGAGGAAGAAGAAGAGGGUAGAUGAGGAAAGAGAGAAAGAAAAAUCCAAAAAGAAAAUAAAAAUCCCAGCCAUUGAUUUUAAUUUUAAAAUAUCUAAUAAUUUCAAUUAGUUUCCCACUAUGCCAAUCUCGUAAAACUUUCGUCUGGCACCGUGCCUCGCUGUUGAAGGGUUCCCAUGCUAGCAUCUGCCAACACGAUCUGACAUUUCAACUAGGGGUGGGUAUAUCGGUCGGUUUAGUCCGUUUAAGAUCUGACAUGUGAAAUCAAUAUUUUAAGCUUAUUGGGUAAAUCUGGUUGUAAAAUAGAAAGAUUUUUUUUCUUUUUUUUAGAUUUAUAUUGGUUUCCUAAUCCGGUAAAUAAACGAAUUGGUCCGUGGGUUCAAUUAAUAAUUUAAAAAUAAAAAUAAAAAUAUAUUUUUAAUUAUUUGGUAGGUUCGCAAGCAAGAGAGGGGCAACACACGUCAACUGAAGAAGAGAAAGUAAUCUUGUGGAUCUCGUGACAGAAUGAGAGCUGGAGAAGGAGUGAGAGUUAAAAAGAAGAGACUGCCAAGUAUAAAGUCUCAACUCAAAUACUAAAUUUAUGUAAUUUUUAUUUUAAAAUUAAUUUUAUCUUAUUAGUAAAUCUGUGUAUAAAAUUCGUUAAAUUUGCAUACUUAACGAAUCAAACUCAAAUAUUAUUUAUAAUUAUAUGGAUUUAUAAAAAAAUAAAUUGAUAAUAUGCUCAAUCCACGAAAAUAACGGACCGUCCCCGCAAACCUGAAUAGUCAUCCCUAAUUUCAACGGAGUGGAAAGUGGGAAACCAUGAAACUUGCUACGUACUGUGAAAUUAAAAGGUCCGUACUAAUGUACGAAAUUAAUAAUCUUCUCCUCCCUUGUCGUCAUUUCUCACCUCAUCAUAUACAUAAUAAUACAUUAGUACUUUUUUAGGAGGACAGGCCAUAUAUAUUUUUAACACAUUUUUAAUAUUAUUUGUUGUUAAUUAGUUUUUUAAUAAAUUAUAAGUUAAGUUAAAAUUUAUUAAAUUUACAAAACUAUAAGAAAAAAACAUUAAAUAAGAUGUAGGAUCUACAAAAUUUAUAAUUUAUAAUAAAUUUUAACUAAUAAAUUUUAACUAACAAAUUUUCAGCAUUUUUCUAUUCUUUUAGACUACAAGUAUUGAUUAAGUUAAAACAACCAUGUGUUAAUGGUUCCUAUAGUAAUAUUAUUAGGAUAGAAUAUAAUUAUUUUUGGUACAAAAAUACAUGGGAUUUAGAUAAAAAAAAAUCCUGUUAAUUAAUGUUACAAGAUACAUUAUUUAAACAUUUAAAAAUUAACAUUACAUUUAGCAUUUCAAGUUUUCAACGGAGUAGAAAGUGGGAAACGAUGAAAUUUGCUACUCUUAAUUUAAAAGGUUCGUACUAUAAAUUAUAAUGAGAUUCGUCUUUACUUUCGCACCCUCUAUACAUUAUAGUAAUUUAAAGUGCAUGUGAUAUGGUAUGCGAAUAUUUCUACCUGUUGUUUAAAAUUUAUUUAGAAUAUAGUACGACACUGAAACAUUAUUAUCUCAUAAAAAAAAUUUAUAUAAUUAAAAAUAAAUUUAAUUUAAUACAUUGAUAAUAUAAUUUUUUUAUAUCAUCAAUUAAUUAAAAAUCAUUCUAAAUAUAAAUUUUAAAAUAACUAUUAUAAAAGUAAAAAAAAUUAAUAUACACAACAAUUCAUAAUUAGAUGACAUUGCGUUUUAAUUAAUUCAUUGAAAAUUAGUGCCUUUUAUAAUAAAUAAUCUAGAAGUGAUAUUUAAAGUGGUUUCUAAUUAGUUAUUAGUAUACAUUUUUACAGUAGCAUAGUUUUAAAAUUAAACUUCCAGUAUAUGUUUUUAUUUUCUAGAUAUACAUGCAGAUUAAAAAUAUAUUUUAAAACUAAAGGAGACUUUUUUGUUAUAUAAUAAUAAUAAUAAUAAUAAUAAUAAUAAUAAUAAUAAUAAUAUAAAGUGAGAGAUGGAAAUGUAUGAGGGGACGAUGUUCGAUUUAUUUUUAUGAUGGGAACAUAAUUUUUUAAAAUAAAAAAUAAUUAGAAAAUUUUAUUUAAAAUAUUUUUAUUAUUAAUAUAUCUCUUAUUAAAAUUAUAUAUAUAUAUAUAUAUAUAUAUAUGAGAUUGCUAGCAUACUCUAAUGUUAGAGUAUUUAAAUAACCUACAUCAAAUUAUUAGAAUAAAAAGCUUAACUAUUUAUUUUGUGAUAAUAAAUUUAUUUAAAAAAAUAUGAUAAUUUAAUAUUUAUAUUUUUAAAAUUCAUUUAUUUAUCUCUUCAACUCAUUCUCUCUCCUCUCUUUUUCUCUCACAUCAUUUAAUAUUUAUAUUUUCAAAAUUAAAAUUUAAAAUAUUUACCGAGAGAAUGAAUGAGGAAAAUAAAUAAAUGAGUUUUAAAAAUAUAAACAUUAAAUUAUCAUAUUAUUCUUAAAUAAAUUUAUUAUCACACAAUAAAUAGUUUAAUCUUUGAUCUAAAUAAUUUGGUGUAGGUUAAAUACUCUAACAUGAGAGAGUAAGUUAACAAAUCAUUUUAUGAAUGUACGUAUGGGAAGGAAGAAUGUAAUAGAAAACAAAAAAGAAAGAAAAAGAAGGAAAUUAAAAAUAAUAAAUGUAAUUAAUGAUUUAAGAAAAAAAUAAAAAUAUAGUAUACAAACGAGAAAAUAAUUACAGUCAGACUCAGAAACUGUCAUGAUAUUUAUUCAUCUCUAAGUAAAACAUAAUUUUAUUUUAUUUUAUUUUCCCCUCAGAAUUUUAAAAACUCAAGUGUCUCAUGUAUAGCCAAAAAAACCAUAGACGCAUGGUAGUUGGAGAGCCGAGAGCCUACAAUUAUUUCUGAGACAAAAGAUGGAAGAUAAAGUUUACAUAAUUGUUCUCUCUCCAAUUUCUAUUAUAAGAAAAAAAAUAAUUUCAUAUUAAUUAUAAAAUUAAUUAAUUUUAUUAAAUUAUGUUAAUUCCAAAUAAAAAUAAGUUUUUUAAAAAAAUUAUUUUUCAUUAAAACUUGAUAUCAAACAUAAAAAAAAAAUUAUCCUAUCAAAUGAAAGACAUUUAUUUAAAAAUAGUUUUAUUAAAUACGGUAAAGUUAAUUAACUUUUGUUUAUAUAAAAAAAAGCAAUUUUUUUGUUGCUUAUUAAAAAGACCAGUGGGAGUACUAAUUAAAACAAAACUAUGGCUGCUAUGUAACAUGGCACCAGAGAGUCUCAAUCCUUAGAGAAAUUAAAUACCAAACUUUGACAUUUCACAGAGUGAUGGUAGUAAUAAAUGACAAGGAAUGAGACCCAGCAUGGACCCAGUCCUUUGACCACUAUUAUUGUCCAGCUCAAUUGAAAUUUUUUUAUUAAGAGUUUAACUUAGUUGAAUAUGAUAAAUAAAUUAUUAUAAUUUUUUAAUAUUUAUUUUUAAUUUUUAUGAAUAAAAAACUAUUACAAUCUCAGUUCAUUUUCUUGGGACACGUAAUCAAGUUUAAUAACUAUUUCUCAUAGCUUAAAAAUUCAGUUAUGUCGAGUAUUUAUGUACAAAUUAGUUAGAACAAUAGGCGCGUAUAGUGGUCGCCCUCUAAGACAUAUAAUUGUGAAGAUCGAAGAGAAGCUUUAUACAAUUAUUAAUGAUAAAACUAUCAUUGUUAUAUAACAUGGGGCCAUAAAUGAGUGCAUGGAUUGAAUGAUGCAAAAUUGUUACAACUUAAUUAAUUAUCUUGAGUUUUAAUUUUAAAUAUAUAUUUGUGUUAAAUACUCCGGAAAGAGUUUUAUGUUCAUAAUUAUUAUAUUUAACUUGAACAAUAUUAACUCAACUGAUGAUGCAUAUAUAGUUUAUACAAAAAAUAUAUAUAUAACAUGGGACCUAGGCGAUGGCAAAACGGGUUGGAUCUAUUCGAUCAACCCAUUUUGGGCUUUUUUUUCGAAUUAGGUUGGAAUUUUCAAUCCUUCAACUGCUUUGCUAUGUUUUGAUCCGCUACAAAAUGGGUUGAGAGGAAAGUAGAACGGACCAACUCUCUAACCCGUUUUUUUUAUUAAGAAAUAAUUUUAGUAUUUAUUUUGAUAUUUUAUACUAAUAUUUAUUAAUUUUCAAUUAGCUUAUUUUUUGUCUAAAUAAAUUAUUAUUAAAAAUUUAAGGUAAUACAUUUAAUUUUUUAGUAAGUAUUUAUUAUUUAAUAUUUAUAAAAGAUAAAAUUAAUUAAAAUACAUUUAUAAUUUAUUUUUUUAGUUUUGACAUGACAAAAACGAAAUGAACUGAACACUUUGAAUCUAUAUAUAAAAUACGGGAUGAGAUGGGAUGGAUUGAUCCGUUUUUUAUGGAUUGAUCCCUUUUUGCUAGCCCUAAUGGGACCAAAGAGUCACUAUCCUUUAGAAAAAUUCACACCAAACUUUUGACAUUACAGGCAGGGACAAUGCGAGUAAUAAAUGGCAUAGAAUGAGACCCUAGUCCUCUGGCCACUAUAAAAAGGGAUGAUUGUGUGUGUUACAUGCAUCAGCCACCACCAUUGACUAGUAUCAUUAAGAUGGCUAAUUCCUACUUAUCCUUGCUUGUCUUGAUCCUUGUAGCUCUGCUCCUCACCCCUCAAGGGCUUGCUGAUGAAUCUGAUUCUUACUAUAAGCCACCAGUUUACAAGAAACCACCAGUGUACAAGCCCAAGCCCAAGCCACCCAUUCACAAGCCCAAGCCACCCGUUUACAAGCCCAAGCCACCCGUUUACAAGAAACCCCCUUAUGGUAAGUACCCACCAGUUCAAGACAACGAUCACUUCUAAACCAUGCAACAAGGCAUGUUAAUGUUAACUAUCUACUAAAAUAAAGAGGUUCAGUUAACCUACUACGUACGUUGCUCCUUUUAAUUCCUAAAUCGUAAUUUACAACUUUGUAGGGAUGAGACAUUCUUGGCUAGCUCUGCACUUCAAUCCUUUAUUUGUACAAUGCUAUGGCCAAGUCAAUACCAUGCAUCUUAUCUAUGUGUGUCAUUGAACGAAGUAGUUGCGUGAAAAUGAUGCUUGUACUAUGAAUAAAUAAUAAAAGAACUUUAUCAUUUCAAGAUUGUGCUGUUUAGUUUAUUUGCUGAACCACCGUUACUGACCAUAAAUAAUACACAUGCAGGUCUUGUUUAGGAUAAACUUAAUUAUCCGUAA